rnacentral:lncRNA from 1 species
AAAAAAAAAAAAAAAAAAAAAAAAAAAAAAAAAAAACCUAAAACUUUUUAAGACUAUAGAAUUGGAUAUUGUUUUUGUGCAGUUGUUGAAACCAGACCCAAUGGUGGUGGCCACAAAACUUUUGGAGAGAAAAACGUUCAAGGACAAUGGGAAACAAUUCAAUGUGUUAGCAGCAGCUUGGAUUCAAUUUAUGAUACAUGAUUGGAUAGAUCAUUUGGAGGACACUAAUCAGGUUUCAUCAACUUCAAAUUAUAUAUAAUUUUGUCCAAUAAUUUUCUUAAUAUGAUGGUGGAAGCAUGCUAGAUUCUCAAGUAGACCAACAUUUUAAUGUUCGUGUUGUGAUUGAUUAAUGUUAGUAUUAUAUAUAUAUAUAUAUAGAUUGAACUCACUGCACCACGUGAAGUUGCAAGCCAAUGUCCACUAAAAUCAUUCAAGUUCUUGAAGACAAAGGAAAUUCCAACGGGUUUUUAUGAGAUCAAGACUGGACAUGCAAACAUUCGUACACCUUGGUGGUAAGAAUAUUUUCCAUAUACCUAAGCAUUAAUUGAUCGUAUAUAUACAUAUAUGAUUAAAUAAUGGAAAAAUGUUAUUAAUUAAAAUAGUGUUAAUGAUCAUUUUACAACGAUCUCAAUGAAAUUUGGACUUUUUAUCUUGAGUUUAUAAAUUCAAACUCUUUACUAUUGAUUUCAAACCAUCGCAAUCAUUUAUAUAUAAACUGAUGUAGACAAGCUAGCAGCACGAAUCGAGGAAGAAGUGGCGCGCAAGAAAGGUUGAAUCGGAACGGUGCUGAUUUUGCAUCCGAUGUCGGUUUGACCCGAAUUAUACCUUUUCGGAAAGCCCCUGACGUCACGAAAAGGUAUCAGAGCCUGGUUUCCCUUGGUAUCAGAGCCUGGAUUCCUCUGUUCUCUCGUGAACGUGAUCCAUCCAUGAGGUUCGGAGCUUUCCGAAAAGGUAUAAUUCGGGUCAAACCGACACCAGAUACAAAAUAUGCACCGUUCCAACUUGCGCGCCACUUCUUCCUCGAUUCGUGAUGCUAGCUUGUCUGCAUCAUAAAUAUAUGGAAUAUAGUUUCUGAAAAUUAGGUGUGUUACAUAUAAACAUUGUUGUUUUUAUAUAUCUAGGUCUAUCUAAUUUUGUCUAGUAAUUAUACUUAUAGUCUCAAUUUAAGACCUUCUAAUUGAACUUACACAUGACAUGCAUGAAACUAUAUGAUAAUAGGGAUGGAAGUGUGAUAUAUGGAAGCAAUCAAGAAGUUUUGAACAAAGUGAGAACUUUCAAAGAUGGGAAGUUAAAAAUAUUAGACGAUGGUACCCUUAAGCAAAAUGAAAAUGGAGUAGCAAUUUCAGGUGACGUUCGCAAUAGUUGGGCUGGUGUCUCAACUUUGCAGGCUCUCUUUAUUCAAGAACACAAUGCUUUUUGUGAUGCUCUCAAGGUAUACUUGUAACUAUAUGCAUCAAAUUUAUUUAUUUAAAUAAUUGCUCUGGACAAAAAAUAUUUUUUUUGUCAAAAAAGUGACAUAUGAUAUAACUACUAAAAAACAAAAAUUAGUGAAGGAAAACAUGAAAUCCUCUAUAAUUCCAUCACAAAAUUUUGUGACCAAGAAAUUUGUGACGAAUUUUAUUUUUUCCGUCACUCAUUUCCCUUCCUAAUUUUGCUUUUCCUAGUUUUACAUAAAAGAUAACUACUUUUUUUUAUACCGUACUUUAUUAGAAUGAAUACCCGGACUUGGAAGAUGAAGAUCUUUACCGUCAUGCUAGAUUGGUGACUUCAGCAGUUAUUGCAAAGAUUCACACCAUAGAUUGGACUGUGGAGCUCCUUAAAACCGACACUUUGCUUGCUGGCAUGCGUGCUAAUUGGUAAGAUUAAGUAUAGAGUGUUUUCCCUCUAGUUAAUUUUUCGAGUUUAAUUAGUACAGUCUAUCGGUAUAUUAUAUACUUAUUUUAUACAUACAUUUAAUGAUAUGUUAUCAUGUCAAUUAAUGAAUGUGGCAACACAUAAUUGACGUGACAAUACAUAAUUAAAUGUAUGUGUAAAAUAAUUGUACACUGACAAUGUAUACUAAUUAAAUUUUAUUUUUUACACGUUUUAGUGAAAUUUUAAUAGCUCAACCUAAAUAAUAGUAAUUUUGAUGUUCAUUGCAUUAACUUUUGUCAUGUUACAAAAUUUGAUUUUAUUUAGGUAUGGAUUAUUGGGAAAGAAAUUCAAGGACACGUUUGGGCAUGUUGGUGACUCUAUCUUAGGUGGAUUGGUGGGCAUGAAAAAACCAGAUAAUCAUGGUGUUCCAUACUCUCUAACUGAAGAAUUUGUGACUGUCUAUAGGAUGCAUGCACUCCUACCUGAUUCUUUGCAUUUGAGAGACAUAUCUGCCACCCCAGGACAAAACAAAUCUCCACCACUGAUCAAAGAGUAUGCCAAAAUAUUUUUACACCAAUAUUAUAACUUAUUACUAUAUAGCAUCACAAACUUUAACAACUCAUUUAAUAGUCAAUAAAUGAAAUUUAUACCAUUUUUAAAUGAGUCUUAUUUAAUAGAAAAUGAGAUCCAUAUAAUUGGUGGAAUACAAAAAUUUACCCAAUCAUAUACUUCAUUCGUCUCAAAAUAAUAGUCGUUUAAGGUUUAUACACAGUAAUUAAGAAAAAGAUUAAUUGUAUUGAUUUCAAUGGUAAAAUUAGUAUCAUUUACUAAUAUACUCUUAUUAAUUGUAGUUAGUGAAGUAGCUGUGUUCGAUAAAAUUCAAUAAAUAAGGUAUAAUAAUGAGAAAAAAAUAAUAAAUGUUGCAUUGUUAUUAUAAAGUGACAAUCAUCUUGCGACAAAAAAAAAAUGUUAAAUAAACAGUUAUAUUGAGACUGAGGGAGUAGUGUUUUGAAAAAGAGUAACAAAGAUUGUGUUUUUUAGCACUCCAUAAUCUAAAAAAGUUCUGAAUUUUUUUAUCUCUUUUGGUAUUAUACAGGAUUCCUAUGAAUGAUCUGAUUGGCCUGCCAGGAGAAAAAACCUUGUCAUCGAUAGGAUUUUCAAGCACAUUAGUAUCAAUGGGUCACCAAACUUCUGGUGCCCUAACACUUGGAAACUAUCCAUCAUGGCUCAGAGACCUAGUACCACAGAACAUAGAUGGCACAGAAAGAUCUGAUCAUGUGGACAUGGCUGCUCUUGAAAGUAGGAUAUCUGAGUCACAAUUUUUAUUUAAAGAUUUUUUCAUAUUUUAUCUAUAAAUCACUUGAAACUGAUUGCAAUUUGAUAUAAUAUAUAAUGCAGUUUAUAGGGAUAGAGAGAGGAAAGUAGCCAAAUAUAACCAAUUCAGAAGAUCAUUAUUAAUGAUACCUAUUUCAAAAUGGGAAGAUUUGACAGAUGAUAAGGAAGUAAUCAAAGUAUUGGAAGAGGUAUAUGGAAAUGAUGUUGAGGAGCUUGAUACACUAGUUGGUCUCAUGGCAGAGAAGAAGAUAAAGGGUUUUGCAAUUAGUGAGACAUCUUUUGUGAUAUUCCUUAUCAUGGCAUCUAGGUAAAAACAACUGAUAUAUAUAUAUAUAUAUAUAUGGGGAAUGCUAAUACACACCCACUUCAAUUUUAGAAGGUGUGUAUUAGCAUACUAUUGAAUUUGUCUAGUAAAAUAGAUGCAUAUUAUGGAUUUGAUUAAAUUUUCAUGCACUUUGAAGGAGGCUAGAGGCUGAUAGGUUUUUCACAAGCAACUUCAAUGAGGAGACAUACACCAAAAAGGGUUUGGAAUGGGUGAACACAACUGAGAGCUUAAAGGAAGUGAUUGAUCGUCACCAUCCAGGAAUGACACAAAAGUGGUUGAAUGCUUCAAGUGCUUUCUCUGUUUGGGAUGCACCCCCAAACAAAUUCAAUCCAAUUCCACUUUAUCUUCGUAUUCCUAGUUAAUCAAUUUGACUAAGCAAUAUGAAAUAUGCUAGCAACACAUUUUUUUUAAUGCAGACUCUUUAAUUUGUGAAAAUUAAAACGAGUUUCGUUAAAUCAAUGUGGAACCUACAUGAUUUAAUAUGAACUAUUAAAAAAAAUUCAAUCAUUUAAAGAUUGUAUGUUAAAAAUGGUGUGUUUGCUAGCACUCUCUUGCAUUUGUGUUAAGUUGUUGUAUUUGUGUAUUUCAAAAUAAUCCUAUAGUAAUGAAUAAAACUAAGGAUAGGAAUAAUGAAAUGAGUGUGGCAACUCAUCUAGAAGAACCAAUGAUUAGAGGCUUGAUGAGUGCUUUUGCAUCCUCUCCUUGUUCAAGGUUCCACCUUAUCUUCUUCCUUUGUGUUUUAGUACUUUUCCCUUUUAUUUCAGUACUUUAUAUUUCCAUGAAAUGGAUAUGAUUCCAUACCAGUAAAUCUAGUUUCUGAUUUCCAUAAGCUCGACCUCAUUUGUAAUGUUACAUUGUAUUAAUGAAGUUUUGAGCACUAUUGUUCAGUUUAAAUAUUCUUCUAUAAUUUCCUGCCUUCUUUUUAGUGAAAUAUUAUUUCCUGCCUUUUCAUCUUUAAUAAUGAGGUGAGAGAGGUGGAGUAAAUCAAAGUGUUAUCUUGGCGUUUGAGUUUAAAUAAACUUAAAAUCCUAACGUUUUUGUAUUAUGAUUGGUGUUAGAACCCAAAAAAUUAUCUUUGAAGAUUAAUUUGAAGGUGCUAGAGUAGGUAACUUGGUGGUUUGGGGGGCUGCUAUCAUAUCAUAGCACUUUAUUCUGGCUAUCGGCACGGCAGUGCCAACUUUGCAGGUGUGUGGGAGGUGUCCUCGGUGCUGUCAUGGUUUUUGCUGAGUUUUUGGGGGAUGAUCGUGCUGCUGUUAUUUCUGAUUCACACUCGAUUAUCAAGUCAAAAAAGUAAAAACCACGUAAAGAUAUAAUAAUUCGAUAACCAAUAGAAAGAAAAUGCAUAUAUUUUUUCAUCAAACUUUUAAAAUUUAGCUUCCUUAAUGAAUCAAAUAAAUACAACGAAAAGCCAUAAACAUGUUUCACAUUGAAAUACUUAACAGAAAAACCAAUCCAAUACCAUUUACAGCUGGCUAGGAAGUGUAGAGAAUAAACAAAACAAAAGUUACAUUGACCAUGCUGUUAGAUUCAUUCAUGUGUCACAAACAUUUUGAUCUCUUUGUUAAACGUCAUUUGCAAAUUAAAAUCUGUUACCAUGUUUUCUGAUAUCUGACAAACACGAAGUAAUAAAACAGAUAUGCAUAAGCAAAAUCUAGGCUUACAGACAAUUAUCCCUUCAAUUGCAUCAUGAUCACAUCACUGAUAUCUAGGCUAGGAUCACAAUACGGUAACAUGAAUUAAACGAAAACACUAUGCAAUACUAUAGCACAAAUGUUUAUAGCAGUAGAUAGAUACUCUGAAAACUACAGCAAGCCAGCUAAGGCAGCUUCAAUGCCAAUGACAAAUAGCGAAAACAGCAACAGCUAGGAUCACAAUACGGUAACAUGAAUUAAACAAAAACAUGUGUGUAACUACAGCUCAAAUGUUUAUAGCAGGAGACAGAAACUUGAAACUACCGUCAAAAUAACAACAGGUAUCAUAUUUAGAGACAGUUUGGAUAAAUAGUUCAAAAUACACUCGUGUAAAAACAAAAGUCAAAAGAUUCUUCCCAUAUUAGGUGAAAUUAGCUUUCAUAAGUGAAUAGUCGUAAACUUGUUUCAAUUGAGAAGCUUCUGUGAUACAAAAGCUAAUCCAAACCAAAGCCUUAAUAGAGAACAGUUUCCCAACUUCUCAUAAAGUAACCACAUGAUAAGACUAUGCCCACUAGGAAUUUAGAACCAAAAUUUUAAAUCACAGUGGUGAUCACCCUUAAUCUAGUACAAACUAACAGAAAAACACAAUCACAACUGCAGUUGUCAACUACAAUUACAAACAUUGAUUAGAACAAUUUACAUGAAAAGAAGUUGAAUUACUUCUACAAGAGCCGUACAAGACAAAAAAUAUCCACACAACAUUGUCUUAUAAUCUAUGUAGCCCGGCAAUUCAAAUUGAAAGUGUGCUUGGUGUCAAACACAUGUCACUAUCAAACAUCGACACAACACUCACACAUGUGGUUGCAUCCAACCGGUGUUGUCAAUUGCAUAAAGCAAAAAAUAGAAGUUUGGUCAAAUUUUAUAGUGUAUAGCAAUAGCACCACUAUAGCCUCUAUUUGUAAACACUUUGCACUGAAUAGUGAAUUGCAUAACAAUAGCGGUUUGUUCAAGUGCCGGCACCCUAUAGCGCUAUAGCGCCGCUAUAACUGUUAUUUGACAACACUUGCGCCGCUAUAUCUUAGCUGCAAUUUGACAACAGAUUAUACUAAAUAUUGAGUGUAUCUCAGGAUAAUAGAGAUUUGUUCAAAUUCUGCUAGGCUAUAACUCUAUUUGACAACACUACCUUCAAUCCACUUCAUUUUCUUAAACUAUUAGUGUCUGGUAUCUAUGUAUCAUAGCUUAUAAUCCAACUUCCAACUUUCCAAAACUAAUCAUAAUUCGUAAAUAAUUCCUCCAAAAAAAGGUCCCAUUUUAGAAUAACUAAGUUAGCAUCAUCAACAAGGGUAUUAUUACAAGACAUAUCUCCGCACAUCAUUGCCUUAUAAUCUAUGUAGCAGGAAAACAAUUAUAUUGAAAGCAUGCCAGUUGUCCAACAUGUGUCAGUGUCAAUCAACACCGUCAAUCAACAUCAAUUCAAGAAUAAUUCAAUUACCAUCAACAACAACAACCAAAGUUCUUAAAUUAUUACCAAUGUCAAAGUUAACACCGUGUCAGGUGUCUACACUUAUAGUUUAUAAUCCACCCUCAAACUUUCCAAAACUAAUCAUCAUAAUUCAAAAGUAAUUCCUCCAAAAAAAUGUUUCAGUUCAAGAAUAACUAAAAGAGUCGAAGAAACAAAAACUACCUCAGGGCUCUAUAAAAGAAGUUGAAUUACUUGUAAAAGAGCCACACAAAACAAAUAUCCACAGAACAUUGCAUUAUAAUCUAAGUAGCACUGACAUUUUGAAUUGAAAGGAUGUCUGGCGUCCAACACGUGUCAAUGUCAGUCAACACGACACCGGCACAUGAAAUUACAUUCAAUCACUUUCAUUUUCUUAAAUUACUACCAAUAUCGACAUGUCAGUGCCGAUGUUGUAUCAUAUAUCUGAGCUUCAAAGCUAAUAAUCCAAUUUCCAACUUUCUAAAACUAAUCAACAUAAUUCAUAAACAACAUAUAAUUGGCGGUUAGGGUUUUAAGGAUCGGUUCGAGUUUAGAUGGUACUAAUCUCCACACAAUAUUGCCUUAUAAUCCAUGUAGCACUGACACUUUAGAUUGAAUCUAUGUCCAAUGUCCAACAUUUGUCGGUAUCCAACACCAACAUGUGUGGUGGUUACAUUCAAUCACUUUCAUUGUCUACAAUUAUUACCAAUAUCUACGUGUCAAUGCCAGUGCCAUAUCCUAUAUCUUUGCUUCAUAGUUAAUAAGAAAACCUCCAAAUUUCCAAAACUAAUAAUCAUAAAUCAUAAACAAUUUCUCCACAAAAAGUUCAAAUUUAAUAAUAACUCAAUUACCAUCAGCAACAACAACAAACAUUCAUCAAUUAUUAUCAGUAUCAAUGUCAGUGUAGUGUUGUGUCAGGUGUUUGCACUUCAUUGUCUGAUUUCCAAAACAAAUCAACAUAAUUCCUCCAAAAAAAGCUCCAAUUCAAGAACAACUCAAUUAACAUCAUCAACAACAAAAACUCUUAAACUACUACCAGUAUCAACGUCAGCGUCGUGUCAGGUGUCUGUAGUUCAUAGUCUAAUUUCCAAAACUAAUAAUCAUAAAUCAUAAACAAUUCCUCCAAAAAAUAGUUCCAAUUCAAGAACAACUCAAUUACCAUCAAGAACAACAACAGAAAAACUUUUAAAUUAUUACCCGUAUCAACGUCAGUUUCGUGUCAGGUGUUUAUAGUCUGGUGUUUUGCAGUUCAUAGUCUAAUUUCCAGAACUAAUCAACAUAAUUCAUAAACAAUCCAAAAAUAGUUUCAAUCCAAUAAUAACUAAAUUAUAAUCAUCAACAACAACAGCAACAAUUCUUAAAUUACUAUCGGAAACUAUGUGUCAAUGUCGUACAGGUACCUGUGCUUCAUAGUUUCUAAUCCACCUUCCAACUUUGGAAAACUAAACUUCAUAUAGUUCAUAAACAAUUUCUCGAAUAAAGUUCCAAUAAUAAUAACUAAAUUAUCAUAAUCAACAACAACAAUUCUUAUUACAACAAACUAUCAUAUAAUAACAUACAUUACAUGAGAUUGAAUUAAAAAAAACAAUCAAUUCUCAUUGACAUUAUUAUUACCAUGAUUACCAAGCACAAAGGAGAAAACUUCUUGAACAGGAUUAAAGCUAACAAGAGCAACAUCAACAGCAUAACCAUUAACAGGCAAUUUAAUCUCCCUCAAAAUCGAAAACGCUUCCGUCAUUCUCCCUUUACUAACAUUUUUCGCAACUUCACAAGACGGAAUCCAAUUCCCAACACAAAACUCAUCACCAACAUCAACAACAUUUUCCUUAAGAAUGGAAUCAAUCAAAUUCGAGUGAAAAUUGAGAAGAGCGAGAGAAGGAGUAGGAGAGAGAAAGAGAGUGUUGUUAUCGUUAGAGAACGACGAGAUUGAUGAGAAGGAGAGAGGGAAAGGGGAGGUUGUUGUUGUUAGGGUUUUGAGGAGAGGUUCGAGUUUGAGAGGAUCGAGAAGAGAAGUGGUGGAGAAGAGAGUGAUGUGAGGACGGGAGGCGGUGGUGAUUAAGGAGGUGCUGAUUUGACGGCGAGCGAGGACGUUCCAGGAUUUGAGAACUUGGUUUUCGAGUGCUGGAUCCAUGUAGAGUUCGAUUGCGUAGCCUUCUGGGGAUGAAGACAUUGGGAUCGGAUAAUUGGAGGUUGGAGAAGAGUGGCGGUGGUGGUGGUGGUGGUGGUGGUGGUUGUGGUUGGUGGUUGAUUCUGGUUGUGAAAUCUGGAGUGAGUAGAGUGGAAGGGAAAGCUAAGAAAAUGUAAUAAUAAAGGCUAUGACCAUCGAGUGACUUAUGACUGACCAAUAACAGAUAAAUUUAUAUCUUAAAACUAAAAUUUUAAGUUAUACUACUUAAAUUAUCUUAUAAAAAAACAUUAAAAGCUGGUAAAAAAAAAAGGGUUAAAUAUAUUUUUGGUCCCUAUAAAUAUACCAACUUUUUGUUUUAGUCCCUCUAAAAUUUUCCUUCAACUUUUAGUCCCUAUAAAAUUUUGAAUCACUAUUUUAAAGUAAAUUUUAGUAUUUAUUAAUGAAAUUGUACAAAAAAAAUUAGAAUUUUUUAAGUAAACAUAAAUUAUAUGUGAAGUUUUAACCAUAAAUAAUAUAAAAAUUCAUAUUAAAUUCAUGUUUUGUUAAAAAAUUCUAAUUUGUUUGGCAGAGAUUAUUAUAAUAUUAUGAAUUUUUAUGAAAAAUUUGAUUCAAAAAUAUGAAUUCUACAUAUGAGUUUACUUUAAAAGAGGGACCAAAAGUGAAGAUGGAAAAUUUUUUAGGGACUAAAAGUUGAAGGAAAAUUUUAGAGGGACUAAAAUGAAAAUUUGAUAUAUUUAUAGGGACCAAAAACAUAUUUAACGCAAAAAAAAAAAAUGUUUAUGUAUGGGAAACGAAAAAGACAAGAAACCACCAAGAAAGAAAAAAAAAAAUUAGGUAAAUUUGAAGGAAGGUUGUCCUUGUAAAGUCACUAACAAGAGUAGUCGAAAAAGGUGUUGAACAUUGACUCCAAGCAAUUGCGUCACCCUCCAAUCUUGCUUUGUAUAUCGCUAAUUGAUUCGCACAUCUAUUAACUUCCCUCAAGGAAUGAUGGAAAGACAAGAGCCAAAGAUAACCAAUAAACCAAAUAAUGAGGCCAAUAACAUGUGUAUAAGGGUGGAUUGUUGGAACUCCUUCCUUAAUCAAAGUCCAAGCUGAUUGCAAAUCUGAUUCACAUUCAACAUGUGAAAGCCAUUAUUCAAAGUUAUGCAUUCAUAUUGGUAGUAAUACCACAAUUGCUGGCGAAACACAAUAACCAAUUACCAUUAGUGUCUCUAAUUAAACCUCUGAACCCAUAUCAACCCGGAUUACCAAUAGAGCUACCAUCAACAUUUAAUUUAACAAUUGCACCUAUUAGAGAUUUCCAAGCUACCAAACGUGGUACCUUAUGUGUGUUGACAGACCAAAACACCUAACAGUAGCUUCAUGCUGCGUGUUAAUGAGAUUUAAAAUUUUCCAAUUUAUCGAAGAGGUGUUAGAAAAAAGUUAUUAAUUGUGAGUUCUCCAAAUGAACCAGCAAAAUAUCAAGAAGAGAUGUCUAUCCCAUCAUUCUCAUAAGCAAAGUGUUUAAUCCACUCAUAACAAUCAAACAUCUGAAAAUUGUGUUUACAAGAAAAAUGCAACAAAUACUAGAUUCUAGAUGUUUUCAGACAAUUUCUUAGAGUGUGCAAAAUUGUUUCCUAAACCACCCCACAUCUUAGACAAGAGACAUCAUUAGUCAUGUGAUUGCUGAAUCUAAUGGAGUUAAUUGGUAAUCUGUCAUGCAUAAUCAACCAAACAAAAAACCUUAUAUUCUCAACAACCGAUAACUUUCAAAUUCAUAACCAAUUAGUGUCAUGUGAUAGUCUAUCAUCAUCCAUAUCCAAAAGCCACGUAUAAGAAAUCAAAAGAAAUAACUUUUAUAAAAAUAUUGGGUAUUUAGGCCUCUGACAAGUGUUUGAUACAUAUUUUUAAGAUAUAAUUUUCUUUCAUGAUUUUCAUAAACAAUAUUUUUAUGACAUUUAUUAGCAUAAGUCUUAUUUAAACGUCGAACUAGAAUCAACCGCAAGUGUGACAAGUUUACAAAUUCUAAAUGUACUACUUUUUUUUUCGUGACGUCCAGAAUUCGAACCUCAGACCUUGCAUAUAUUAUUAACUGUCUUUGUCAACUGAUAUAAGCUCGGAGGAACAUCUCAUAGAUACUACUAAUCAUACUCCCUAAAAUUUCAUCAAGUUUUAUUCAAAAUAUGUUUUGUAGCCGCAAAACAGUUGUUUGAUAUUCAACCAAAAAGGCUCCAAGAGAAAUCUAAAUUUCUAAUAAAGUUCUUAUUGGAUUCACCUUCAAAGUGUUUCACGCGGUUGCGGAUGCCAAAGUGAAAAAUGGAUUAUAAAUUAGGUAACCCGUUCUUAACAUUAUUUAGGAUUAAAGAACUAAUUUGUUGACAUAAAAAACAGUAGCAGAACAAAAUUAAGCAAUGCGAGAUGAAAUUCAUUUGAGUUUUUGAGGGUUGCGCCAUCAAAGUAAAAUGUAUAUGAACUACUUAAAAGUGAAGUGCCAUAAUCAACUGCUUAAACUAUAUCCAGUGAGUUAUACUCUCACUAAUACAUAUUAUGAGUGUGUUUGGUCCGAAAAAAAAUUAAGAGAUAGAACAAUUUCAGUUAAAUUGUGUUUGAUUGUAAAAGUGUUUUAAGAAUAAGAUAAACUGAGAGUAAGAGACAUGGCAAAAUGUGAAUAUCAUAUAAGGUAAAAAAAAUUGGUCAAUACCAUGAAAUUUUGACAUGUGUUGUUAUGUUUUAUGUUGUAGUAUUUUGGGUUUAAUCAAAUACUUAACUUUUAACAUAUCAAACACAUCUUAAUGGAACAUAUAGAAGAACUUACGUGAGUUUAAUUUUUAGAUGAAAUGAUAUUUUGUCAGAUUUUUCUUAUAUUGCAGUCUAUCUCAUGGUUACUAUGGUCUCUUUCCGUAGAAAUCGGAGGGAUAACAACAACAACAAAAAAAACAAGACGAAUAAAAAGUUACAAUAUUGUGGGUAGAAUGGAAGAAGAAGAAAAAAAAUAGUCCUAAAAAUUAAAACCACAAAUCAAUGAACUAAUUAAAACAAAACAAGAAUAUUAUUCUCAUGUCCUAACAAAUAUAUAAAUUGCUAUUUCCCUUUAACUAUAACAUAUAAAAACUAAAAUCAUCUUUUCAUAUUUGAUGAUUACUCUAAUCCAAAACUCAUAAUCCUCUCUUGAUCACCUUCCCUUUGAAGUAUAGCCAAUAACAACUCACUCCAAACAUCAAUAGCACCAGGCAAACACCAAUGAGUACAAUCAUUAUAACCUUUCAUCCAUUUAUUUCCCCAAUGUUGACCAGGAUGUCCAUCUGGUCUCAUCAUCAUUGCAUUUGUUACAUCCAAAAUUUCAAACCUAAUGUUCCCUUUAUUAUUAUUUUUAACUUUCAUAAACUCUUCCAUUUGAACAUUCCUUAAAUUCCAUUCAAAUCUAUUCAAAUCAACUUCACCUUUGUUUAUAGGACUUGUCCUAUUGCAAUACCCUCCAGUGUUCCAUAUUCCACCUUCAAAAUGUGCUGGUGCAAAUGUCCUCAAAAUUGUUAACAAUUUUCCUUUUCUACAUUCCUUGCAAUUAUUUAUGUAAUUCAAUGUUGCUUCAAAUGCUAACCUUAGUGUAAAAUCACUGUCACGGUUAAUGACAUUUUUUUCACUGCAAUAGACACAGCCUAGUAAUUUUCCACCUUGAUGAAGGUACAUUAAUCUGAAAAACCAAUGUCCACUUGAAACUAUUGCAUAGUCCAAUUCAGGUAUUACUUUAGCCCAAUCUUCAUCGACUUUGUCGAAAUGUAGGUCGAAAAUGCCUGUAUCUGUUCCAUUUACAAUUCUUUCUUCACCUACUAUUAGAAAUCUGCUCCAUAGUAUCAUUAGAGUGAAGUCAUACUUAGGGAAAUAAUAUGUUCUGAAUUUAUCUUCUGAGUCCUUGUGUAUAUCCUUUGGAAUUUCCUCCUGCAAAAUUUCAACGGAAAUUGUGACAUCUAGUAAAAAAAAUUGAGCACAAAAUUAAGUUUAUGUUUUGAUUCAUGAGUGGCUUAAACAAAGCAAUACUUAUAAAAUUAUUGCAUUUAAGCAAUGCGGAUUGGGUCUAGCAGAAGGAACCAGACUCUUAUAAUAUGGUGAACCAAAAUUUGAAUUCCAACUAAAAGAGGUACGCAUAUUUAAUGUCUGACACACCUCAAAUGUUAUCUAUAAUAUUGUACCCAAGUUUUGUCCCAAGUGAAACCUUGAUAUUCAUGGGAUAUACAAAUUCAAAUUCAUAGCUAGGAGUUAAUUGCCAUCGAGGGACUAUGACAUGACAUGAAAUUAAUAUUCAUUUCUCAUUGGGUAACUCUAGUUUGUUUUCUUGUCAAAUAGAAACCAAACACUUGGCAUGAGGAGAAAAAUGGAGAAAAUUAAAAGCCAUGGAAUGUCAAUGAUUAAUAUCAUGGUAGUUAUGAUUGACUUAACGUUAUGGUAUACAACAAAACAGAAUAAAAUCUCAAUCAUGAAGCCUAAACAUGGGAUAGUUGACCUAUUGAAUUAAAUAUAACAAUUAUUUAUAUUAUGAUAUCAAAUUUACUAAUUGAUUAUAUGAUAUAAAUUAUGUAUAUUAUGAUAAAAAUUAGAUGCUAAGUGAUAGCCUAGACAAUGCUACAUAAUCUUACUCAAAUAGACAUUGCAUUUGUGAUAUACAAAUAAACAUCGCAUUUGUGACAUCAUAAAAAACAUUAAUUAUAAGUUUUUAAUUACCAUUCUCAACAAACUCACUCUCUUAAAAAUAAUAUGGAAGAUUUCUCUCUUUUCCCUUAAUCCCCUCCCUCUAAACUCAUUUUAUCCUCUCCAAUCUCGCAAAUAGACCCAUUAAAAGAGUGUGAAGGUCAUUUGAGUAUCACAAGAAUCCUCUCACUCCAAAGUCAUCUUAUUCCCUCCAAUUUCACAAAUAAACCCAUAGAAAAAAUUUGUUGGUCAUUUGGAUCCCACAAGAUUUUAAAAGAUUAGUCUCCACAAAACAAAAAUGUCUUUUUGACAACUAAUGAACCUAUUAAUGGGUGAGUACAAAAUACUUUAUUUCCCCAUAAGUGAAAUUGAUUGCCAAACAAUUAAAUUUAGAAAAAGUCACUGAAUUGGUGAACUAUCCCUUACUCUCUGCCCGAACUUUAGCUUUUGACUUUGCAUGUUAAUUCUAAAAUAACGUCUCAUUUAAGGGGAAUACUUUUAAUUCUUUUUUCUUGUUUUUGGUCAAUAUGCAAAUUACAACUUAGGACAAAAUGUGAAACUGAAUUGCAUAUAAGAAAGUGAUAAGCCAUCAUGUGGCAUCACAUUCAAGCCUCCAAUUUUAUUUACAAGAAUCACAUUCCCCUUAUAAUUCAAGCAAAGAAUUCACAACACCUCAAAAGCCAAAAAAAAUGUGCACAUUACGUGAAUGUGAAUGUGCAACGUGUAAAAGAAAAAUAAACUUAACAAAAACAAACUAACCUGUGACAAUAGACAAAGGAGAGAAUCCAUAUGGUUCCUAGCCACAGAGUCACCAAUGAAAGCCAUUUUCUUGCCACGAACAAUGUUGAGAAAAAUUUUAGGAUCAAACAUUGGAAGUUCACAUUGUUCAGGUUUCCAUUUCCAAUUGAGAAAAUCAUUGUCCAUUCUUCCAUGCUUGAAACAAUUUUUGCUAUCUGGAAUUGUAGGGCAACUUGAAUUUGUGUAAUAAGAUGACCCUCUUAAACCUCUUAUCCAAUGACCCUUAAAUAAGUCACAUGUUUUCUUCUCUAAAAAAAUAAAAUAAACAAAACAAAACAUAAAUUAAACAUAAACUAUUGGAGAAAUCGAAAGAUGAAUUCACACAUAUUUUCGUGGUUUGAGUGAUGUGACAUAACAAAAAAAAGACAGAAAUUGUCAAUAAUUCGCAAUGAUAAUACAAUGUCAAACCUAUUUUUUCUCCUUAAUAUUUUGAGCUAGAAUUUGGCUAGGUCAAUUAACAUAAUUUAAUCAAUCUCAACAAAAAAAAAUAUACAAACUUUGUUUAAUGAUAAAUUGAUGCAAACAUAUCAAAGAAAUUGAGGAUUAACAAAAUCAAACCAACAUAUGAAUGUGAUCAUUUUUGGAACUUACCCUUAUUUGGUUUGGAUGGUGAAGGUUUUGAUAUAUUGACAUGUUGAUCUUCAUGUUCUUGAUUUAGGUUUAGGUUUUGGGAAUGAUGUUUAAUGAAAUCAUUGGCAUGUUCAUGUUCUUCUAUUUGGGAGUGAUUAUCAAUGAAUUCAUCAUGGGUUUGAUUAGGCAAAAGGGUCAAAGGAUUUGGAGAAUAAAGGAAGAAGAAAGUUAAAAUGGUGGCUAUGAAUAGAGAUGUCAAAACAAAAGGUAACCCUUUGAUCAAUAGGUUGGCACAGCUUUCCUUUUUGCCAUAGUUAUGAAACUUGUGAUCAAAUGGCUUACUAGAUGAUUUCAUGGUUUUCUAAAACAUUCCCUAAGAUACAAAAAGCAGUGAUAGAGAGAAGAGGAAAAAAAGGGGUUUAAUGUGAGAAAAUCAAGAGAACCACAAAUCAUAAAUGAGAGGAAAUAAUGGAAGAUAUGUGAGUGUUGAGGAUUUUAUAUGUAACCUCCACAUUAGAUUUUUUUUUACUCAACUAUCAAGAAUGUUUGGGUAAAGAUAUUUGGAUAUUAAAAAAUUGAAUUGAUUAGCAAAAAAUAAUUGAAUUGAAGUUAUUAAUUAUUAUUUUGAAGCGAGAGAUUCAUUUUAUAUGUUUAAUGUUAAAUUAACAAAGCAAAAUAUAUUAAUCAUCUUUGACCAAAAAAAAGUUAUAAUUAAUCAUAAAAAUCAAUAAAUUUCAUUUAAUUGUUUAAAAUUAUUUAAUAAUUUAUCACAAUAUGUUUCAUUCUAAUAAUAUUCGAAACAUUAUUGGUUAUUGUAACCAAAAAAAAAAAACAUUAUUGGUUGAAUAUGACAUUUUUUAUCCCCGUGAGCUUAGCUCAGUUGGUAGGGAUAUUACAUAUUAUAUGCAGGGGCCGGGGUUCGAACCCCGGACACCCCCACUUCUCGACAAUUAAAUUGUAUGAGUUUUAGCCACUAGCUACUUGACAAAAAAGAAUAUGACAUUUUCUUUCGGUCGAAAUUUAGAUUUUAGUUUAUAAUAUAUCGUGUCUAUUUAUUUAACAGCUCCCUUUUUUACUUUAGAAUAGCAUGUUCCAGCUAUUUUACACUACUUUUGUAGAUUACAGAAUGAACUGUAUAUAUGAACUAUUUUAUUUAAAAAGGAUAUUAUAUAAUAAGAAUAAUUCUUUUUUAGGGAAUAUAUAAUAAGAAUGAUGUAUUUAAUUAGUAAUUACGUGCAAAUAUCAACAUCGUAUCUAAAAUCAUUAAUGACUUUUUAUGUUUUAUCAUUUUUGUUUUUUUUUUAUGAUAGCAUAUGAUCAUUUUUGUCUCUGAUCGUUAGCUUUUCAAUGUUAAUUACUUUAGUCCUUCAAAAAAAAAUGUUAAUUACUUUAGGUAAUUGACGGUUUUGUAAAAGAAUUUACGGAAAUGGAAAAACAACACAAGUUUAUCGAAGAGAAAUGAUGUUUGUACAACCACUUUAUUACAAUUUUUUUACAAUUUUCUCUCUCAUACUUAUAUAUUAUUUUUAUUCUCACUCUUCCUUUUUCUCUCUCUAUUGUUAUUCUUAUUUUCACUUUUCUUUUUUCUCUCUCUAUUGUUUUGGAACAAUAAAAAUAGAAAAAAAUGAAAGAUGUAAUCAAAGUUAUCCCAAAUGGUUGUACAUAUAUUAUCACUCUUUAUCGAAACGGAGAAAUGUGAGAGUAUAGAUUGAUUUGUGAGAAAAUUUGAUUUAAAGUUCAAUCUCUAUUGUAUACAAGGUGAGAUUCUAAGAUGAAAGUUUAAUUAAGUCCAUCACCGAUUAAUAAAAAACCACAUCAUUAGAUUACUUCAAUGAUCUAGAUUUAUUAGAUAUAAAACCAAAAAUAUCUGCAAGUGCUAAUCGAUUAUUAGAUUCUUUUUUGACAUAAGAAUCUAAUAAUCGAUUAUUAGAUUCUUAAAAAUAAAUUUUAAUCAUAUAUAACUUAAACGUUGUACAAAUGAUAAUUUGUGAUUGAUUGUCUCUAUAAUUUUUAUUACACUCACAAUGCAUUAUACUUGAUAUUUUUUACUUUAUUUAGAGUUAAAUAUAAGUUGGUCUCGAGAAAAGAGAAAAUGCUAUGAGAAAAUAAGAUACACACCGAUGUCAAACUGGUUUACACCGACAACUAAUAAAGCUGGAUUGAUUUUGUUUUGGAUCAAUUUGUCAUUUUUUUAUUGUGUUUGUGAUUAUAUUUUGGAUCGGUUAGUAUGGAUCAAUUUUUAUACCUCUCAAUUAUAAAAAAAAAAUAGCCAAUCCUUCUCAAUUAUAUGCAUGUCUUACAUGCAUAUUAUAAAAGAAAUCACCUAGAUAAAAUUUGUAAGGCCAUCCUAAUUAAAACAAAAAGAAAAGAGUGCCACCAUCAGAUCAGACUGUUGUCACAACUUGAACUGAAACAUCAUCAUCAUCAUCAAUCUGAUUUUCUCCCUUGCACGAGUAAUAAGCAUAUAAUAUGAGCUGAACAGUGAGAUUACUUCGAUAUUAUAUGUUCUUCGGGACACUGGUUAAGAAAUUUAAAAAUAGUAAAAUUAUCUUGAAAAUAUAAACUGUUACUUUAAAGGUUUUUUCUAGAUUACCUUUGAAGAAUGGUGGGUAAUUUACCCACCAACCAAUGAAAAUAAACAAUUUGUUGGUGGGGUCAAGAUAGUUCAUGAAUAUCACUUAAAAAUGUGCUUAUGUGACUAAUGUGUAUUGGUUGGGGUAAAUUACCCACCAUUCUUCCAUGGGUACUUUAGUUGUCACCUACUUUAAACCAACUAAUUAUUACACCUUUUUUUAAUAAAAUUUUACUUCUUUUACCUGCUUAACCAAUGCCCUCCAAAUAUUUUAUCAAAUAUAAACUUUAGAUGAUCUAAAUAUAUACAAAUGGAAUAGAAGUUACUUACCACGAUGGUAAGAGGAGAGACAUACAUCAAUAUGGGGAAGAUAUCACAAAUAUCAUCAAUUAUUUGAGACCUUUUUAAACUUUCAUCUAGUGCCAAACAUUGUUAUGAGAACAACUGCAGCAAAAAAAACAGCCUCACCAAGAAGCCAAAUCCCCAACUUCUUCUGAAAUUAGAAAGAAAAAAAGUAGUGAGCAGCGAAAGAAUAUAAAUGGUUACAUAAAACACGUACGAAUGAGCUAACACAUCAUGGACUGUAAUCGGAAAAAUAAAAGAUUAUCGUAAAACAUAAUAAUAAGAUUACAUGUAUUUGAUAUUUACAAAUUAAAUCGGCAAACUUUCAUGAAUUUUCCAUUAAUAAAUACCAUAAUCAUAGUGUGAAAGCAUACGUACCCUUCCUUUCUUGUUGGCAUAGAUAAAAAAGAUGGUAAGAUAGACAAACUUGAAAACAAGUCCAACACCAUUGAUGGUGACGACCAAAAGGCUGUUUGGGUGCACAAAAGGCAUUCCAUAAAACACCCAAAAUGCACAAUUCAGCAGAGUUGCUAAGUAUGGAUCUGGUUUGAAUUCUUCCACAGACUUCUUCUUGAUAAUUCAAUAGAAAGUUGGAUUGCAAUUCAUUCAAAUAAUUCAUUAGUAACCCUUAAUAAUGUUAUUCUUAGAAUAAAUUUUGAUCAACCUUAUAACAAACAUGGUCGGUCAUUCCCAAACCAUAGAUUUUUAGAAGCAAUAUUUGAGAGAAGCAAUUCAUAAAACAAGUCACUUAUUUUGUCCCCAGCAAAAGGAAAAACAACACAAGUUUAUCUAUACGUGGAUGAUUUGAGAGAAUAUCUGAUUUAAAGUUUAAUCUAUAUUGUAUAUGAUUCUACGGUGAAUGUUUAAUUAAGUCGAUCAUUGGUAGAUAAAAAUCAAUUGUUUUUUAUAAUAAAGAUCAAAGUAGUAUUAUCUCUCCAUAUGAAUAUUAAUAUAUGCAUCAAAACUAAAGAAUAUAUUAUUAUAAUAAAAUAAUUAAUAUCAAUUUGACUGGAAUUGUUGCAGAGUGCUGACAACAUGGGCAACAGUUUGCACUUUGCAGGCCUUUAUUUUUCAGCCAACAUUCUUUAGAUUUUUUAGUAUCAUGCAAUCUGCAGUCUCUUUUGCAUUCCCACUUUAGAAGAUGGUGAUAGUGACAGACACUAAAAAUAUUGGUCAGAAGUCAAAAAGCACCCUAGCUAGUACCUAUGCUAUGGUACGAGGCUGCAUUUAAAAAUUAAGCAUAAAAAUUGUCUUAUUUUUAAGUUUUACUUAAAUUUCUGAAAGUUUACUAUUCAUGUUAAAAUGUUUGAAUCUGCAUGGAAUUUGAUGAUUGAUUUGAGUUAAUAUUUUUUGGCUAAAAUAUGUUUUUGGUCCCUGCAAAUAAAGCGAAUUUGGGUUUUAGUCUCUGGUAAAAAAAAUAAAUUGAAAUCCAACCCUACAAAAUUUUUUAUUUUUUAAAAUAGUCCUUGGUCCUACUUAUCUGAUGAUUUGGCCAAUUUUUGCAUAUGUGGCUGGUGCUGAAUGUAUUAUCAUGUACAUGUGGCACACAAGUGACAUUUUAAAUUAUUUUAUAUAUUUAAAAAUCGUUUUAAUUCAUAGAAAAUUAGUUUUUUUUAAAAAAAAAACAUUUAAAUUUAAAUUUAAAUAAAUAACCGGAAAAUGAACAUGGUUCUCCGUUUUCAGGUUUCUUCUUCUUCAUCAACUCCCCUUCAUCUUUUUCUUCCUCUUUCUUCAUUCAAACUAAUGAAACGUCUUGAGCUACAACAGACCUACGGGAUUCUCUCCGAUUCAAAGGAAUAUGUUUGGUAUAAUUCCCACCGAUCCUAAAUCAUCGUCUCAGAUCUGGCGGUUGAAUUUGAAGGUGGAGGUUGUUGACAGAGGCGGCGAAUGACGGUGACGACAUGGUGAUGGAAGAGAGUCACAUGAGAAGGAGAGUGAGAACAACCACUUUGUGGCUGUCGUCGGCGAUGGCAGAUUUGGUGGUUGGUGAACCGGACGCCGGCGGUGAUGACGGUGGUGUGUGCAUUACAAUACCCUCCCUAUUCAUUGCAGGUUGGUUAUUUGUCAGCACGGGUUUAGCUUACGAUGUAUUUGAAAGUCCCCGUCCAAACGAGUAUUUUACAGAAAGCCGACAAUGAAUUCCAUUUAUAACUGGCCGUUUUGAUUCUUUGGAACAACUCGAUGAAUUUAAUAGAUCUUUUUAGAAGGCUCCAAUGACCAUAGGUAGGAUCUAUCCCAUUUUUACAGUACGAUGGUUGGUUGUUCACGGACUAGCGGUACCCACCGUUUUUUUUUUUUUGAUCAAUAUCAGCAAUGCAGUUCAUCCAACGAUAAACCUAAUCCGAAUUAUAGAGCUACGACACAAUCAAACCCAAAUGAACAAAAUGUGGUAGGGCGACGAGGCCAAUGGUGCAGAAGUGUUUAAGUUGCGGUGACUUGAUAGCUUCAUUUUUUUUUGUGUUUUGGCUUUGUUUGCCCCUUCCCUUUUGUUGUAUUUUUUUCCUGCAAAGUCCCUUGCUGCUGCUGCUGCGCUUGUUAGUAUGCAGGAGCUUCAUUAUGUUUCUUUGCUCUAUUGUUUCUCUUUUGUUGUUGCUGUUGCAGAUCCAAGAGAUAAUCACAGAUUUUAGCAAAUUCUUGUUGUUAUUAUUUCUUUUCUAUGUGUGGAUUUACCAAAAAUGAAUUUAUGGGUUUGACAUGAAGCUAUGUUUGUGAAUGAAUUUAUGAUUUUUUCAUAAAAAUGAAAUUCUGGGUUGGGAGAUGAAUUUGUGUUUCGGGAUGAAAUUAAGGAUGAAUUUAUGAAUUUAGGGAUGAACUUGGCUUUGAAUUUCUGGGUAAGGGAUAAAUUCAUGAAUUUCCCCCCUUUUCUGCAGUUUUUUUUUUUUUAAUUAAUUAAAAUUAAUUGUUAUUUUUUUAAAUUCCAAAAAUAUAUUAUUUCAUUUUUUAAAGUAUGAUAAAUGAUAUAAUUGCCAUCUGGAUGACAUGUGGCCAACUUUACACAGUCAGCGCCUGCCACAUAUGCAAAAAUGGGCCAAAUCAUCUGUAAAGUGGGGUCAAUGACUAUUUUAAAAAACAAAAAAUUUUGCAGGGAUGGAUUUAAAAAAAAAAUAUCAGGGACCAAAACUCAAAUUCGCUAUAUUUGCAAGGAUCAAAAACAUAUUUUAGCCAUAUUUUUUCAAGGCUAAAUAUGUUUUUUGUCCAUGUCGUUUUAAUUUCUCUAAAAUUUUCUUUUAAUUUUUAAUCACUAUAAAUUUUUCAAUCGCUACUUUUGGUCUUUAUUUUUAAGUACUUUUUUGUAUUUUUUUUUAAUGAAAUUAUGCAUAAAUGUAUAGAAUAUUUUAAAAUUUACUCAAAAAAAUAUUUUUUUUUACCACCAAAAAUAUAAAAAAAUCAUAUUUAAUUCAUAUUUUGGUUAAAAAAAAAUUGGAAAGAUCCUUAUAAUAUUAAAUAUUUUUCUGCAAAAUUUUAACAGAAUUCUAAUUUGUAAUUCGAAUUAAAAGAAUAUUCAAAACAACUAGGCAAACUUUAUUUGGAAAAAUAUGAGCAAUAAAUUACGAAAAGUUUAGAGUUUUGUGUAAAUGGAAGGAGACAAAAGACUUCGUUGAAGCAAUUAUAAAAUCGCGUUAUUAAACUUGAAAAUAAUUUUUCUAUCAUUUUUAUUUAUUACUAUAUAUAAACAGAAGCAAAUAAACAUUAUUACAAAAAUAUAUAAAAUAAAAAAUGAUAGCUAGGCCAUACAAUAGCAAUAGAUCUAUAGUUAUAGAUUGAUGUUUACAUGAUAAUUUACCCUAAUAUUCUUGUAUUUGUUGGUAAUACUUAAGUUUAUUUUCUAAGAGCUUGUCUUUGUAAUCUUUAAAAAAAAAAAAGACUUCAAAUUUUAUAAGAACAAUCGUAAAGCAGUCAUUAAUGUUACUGUUAUUAAUAUUUUUAUUUUUUUUAAAAAAUAGGUAGUAUGUUACAUUUUUUGUAUGUCAUCAGGGGUGGAUGCAUUGUGUGGGUAAAGCAACACAUCCAUUCCCCAAAGUUUUUAAAAAAAUAAAAAGUAAAACACAAUUAUAUCAAAACACUUCUCUCUCGCGUGCGAAAUAAAUAAGUACAACAUAUUUGUAAUAAAUUAUAAGCUUUUGAAGUUGAUUUUGUUCUUGUGGAUAGCAAACUAGCAAUUGCAAGUGUUAAGUGUGUAUUUUCAGCUACAAAAGUUGGGAACAGUCAACUAUGUUCUUUUAAAAAUUAGCAAUGCUAUUAUUUUAACUCAUUUUCAUCAAAUAGACAUGAGACAAUUUUCAUUGUUAUUGUAUUGAAUCAACCAAUGUUAUUUAUUAUUUUUAAUAUAGUUUACAUUAUUUUUUCUUUAAAAUUUUAACCACACAUAUACCGAAUGUCUAGAUCCGUCUUGUAUGUCAUAUUUAAUUCUUUUAACUAGCAUAUUGAGAUAAGAAUCGAGUCAAAUUGUACUGUUCAAAUCAUUUUUUUAUUAAGAAAGUUUUAAGUUAUUGUUCUUCCCCCUUCUUAUAUGCUUAAAUCUGUAAAUAUACACUUGAAAGUUUUUUCCUGGUAAAAACAACAAUAAAAAAAUGCAUUUUAGGGAGUUUGAAGAGCAAAACAAUCACCAGAAGUUUAACCUUGUAGUGAACUUCAUCAAACUACGAACCCAAAGUUGAAAAUUCUUAGCACUAAGACUGAUUGUUUCAUCAGUUGAAUUUGUGACCACACAUCCCUCUUCCCCCCCCCCCCCCCCCCGUUUCCCUAUGUCGAGCNNNNNNNNNNNNNNNNNNNNNNNNNNNNNNNNNNNNNNNNNNNNNNNNNNNNNNNNNNNNNNNNCCCCCCCCCCCCCCUCCUCCCCUCCCUGCCCCCCCCCCCCCCCCCCCGUUUCCCUAUGUCGAGCACUUGCGGUCAAUAGCGGAUACAUAAGUGAAAAGUUAAGAAGUUGAAAAUCUAUCUAUAUUAUUUGCUUAUAUCAUGCGGUUGGCUGACAAAUUGAAAAGUUGAAUAAUCGUUUUACGUAAGUGAAUAUGUUGUUUAUGUCAGAGACAAGACAUGUGAAUUUUAUAAUGAGAGUAUGUCAAAUCACUACAAAUUAGGGAAGACCUGAAUAAAACUACAAGAAACUAUUAAAAAACAUCUAAUUAUAUAACGUUAAGGUAUCGUUUGAUUCAUGUAUAGAAUCGACAGACAUGGCUCUAUUGUAAACCAAGAAAAACAUGAUUUAUUCAAACCUAUGCUUACAGAUGGUACAAAAAAAAAAAAUCCCAUCCUUUUUUCAAGCUCCCCAAAGAGUUAUUCAAGAUUGAUAAAAUGUUUCAAAUGGCAUGCAACCAAUGAGAAAGAAUCAACGGACAUGGCUCUAUUGUAAACCAAGAACAUACAAACACCCUAACAACAAGCAGAUACCCCUUUUGGUUCAUCAACAGCGAUUGCUCUACAAGCCCUCCGUGUUGGCUCAAAAUGGAGGGGCUACCAGAGCAAUAGAGAGUCAGAUGAGCCGAACUCGUUUCAAACAAUAUGACAACGAGACUAACAUGACGUUUAUUACUGGCUAUCGAGAAAAUUGUGUUUGGAAAGAGCAUAUCGAUGCCAACGUAUUACAACUCACAUGCUUUAUUAAAAACAAUUUAUUUACAAUCCAAACACGUUAAACACUUCUCACAACAGAGAGUUCAUUAAGUAGUCACAAACAUGAAAAUGACCAAUUAAGGGCCCCUAAUUGGGCAGUUAUUGAAUUAACGCAUUAAACUUGCCAUAUCACUCAUAAUGUGCUCAUGUGGUAACGGCGUUUAUGUAAAAAAGAACAUGGCCAACAAGAUAUGAUCAACCAAAAAAAGAGUUGGCUCACAUAUAUCUACCAAAUCUAAAUAACCAAAUUUAAACUCCAUUAACUCCUAAAUGUUUUGCACUCUUCGCUAGCCUACUAGAUACAACUCACAAGCUUUUAUAGCAUAACAAUCAUAAGCAUCCAAACACGCUGAAAAUAAGAGGAUCCAAACACACGAAAUAUAAGAGACCAAUGCUAUUUCUCGCGAUAAAAAAGUUCGCAUAUGCAUUACAAACACAAAUGACCGGUGGGCAGUUAUUAAAUUAACAAUAUCUGCAGUAAACAUGUCAUAUCACCAGCGUACAUCUGGUUGACAAAUUCACUAGAAACAAUUUAACUUUAAGACAGCCACACCCUAAAAGAGGACGGAUUCAUAGGAAUUCCAUACCAAUUCCAACUAUGAUACCAAAAUUAAAAAUGAUGCAAGAGCACAGCCAUGUAAUAACAUUAAGGGGAAGAAGUGACAAAUUGUACAUGGUGGCGCUAACCUGUGCAUAACCAGAAUGUGAUACUGAUAAGUAACAAAAUUCGGAAGUCAUGACUACAGCAAUAACUAUAUAUGUAACAAAAGUUGAAAAAAAAAAUGAUUUAAAGAAGCCAAACUGGCCUCAACCAGUUCAUACAUCCAAUCCUCUCAUUCCAAAUGUUCGAGAAUGGAUUGGGCACAGUGCUGUUGCAGAAAAGUAACAGUCAAACACUUUGAUGCCAAUUUCUCUGAUUCUAGGCCGGCAUAUUAUCACGCCUGCUGUUUCAGUUAGAUAUCUACACAGGAAAAACAAAACUCAUCUGCAAGAGACUAUCUGUGAGAUCAGAUUUGCACAAAACAACCACAUCGGAAGAUCUGAUCACUUUACGACCCAUCAGCAGCACGAGUAGCAGCAUCACUCAUAGUUUCCCCAAUUUUUCUGACAUUUUCCAUAAAAGCUGCAUAUAAACACAAGAGUUACGACUUCAAUUCAUCAAAACCUUUAAACUUUGCGUAACCAAAACAGAAUCAAAUCAGAAACAUACAAACAAAUCUGAUGCAUUAAAAAGGAACUAUUUUUUAACAAAAGUAAUAGAAAGAGAUGCUUCUCGAAUACAAGAUUGCAUGUCCAUGUAAGAAAUAUGUUUGGAACAUAACAAAAUCCCUAAAUCGGAAAUGCAUGCAAACUGUAUAUCAUUGGAAUUAUGAUGUUGAAAAUACAUUGCAAAGAGUUGACAUAGUCAGAGAGCUUACAAGGGGCUGACCUCUUAAAAAAUUGCUUCGUAGAGCUAUUAUCCUACUGCCAUGAAGGGGGAUGUUUGUAACUGAAUCUAUCAGUUCCAUCCCAACCGCCAUCAGGUUCCUUUCUUUUUAAUGCACCUGCCAUCUGAAACAUCUUCAAGUGAUCCUCCAUCAAGGCUUGUGGACUGGGGACGGGCAUCUGCCUCAACCCUGAAGGCAAUCUGUCAUCUCUGCGCUCGGCGUCCGUACCACCAGGGCCUGAAUUAAGAUCCAAACUCUGACUUCCCCAUUUUCUGCUGUCGGGAAUUACGUUACUUGUACUGCCUGGAAGACUCAUAACAUAAGGGCGGGGAUAUGUAGAUGAGACAAUGCCUCCAGGCCCAACCGGCUGCGAGGGCAUAGUAGGAAAGCAAAGUCCACUGACAGUUGAUGAAUCCAUAAAUGGUGUUGAACAACCAGAAAAGGCGUUUGAAGAUAAUGGAAAAUUGGUUUCAAAUGGAAAUCCCGGAUAUGGAAAGGGGGUUGUAGGUGGAUAUGCAACAGCAGGAGAGGAUGAAAGUACUGGCCCUCUGUACAUUUCAGGACUGAAGGGUGAGCUGCCUGUCGAACCUAUGAUCCGCUGUGGCCCAGAAGCACCAACAUAACUCUGUUCCCCUCUACCAGGCAAAAGUGGCGGGACAGUAAUUGCAGAAUACGAAUUACCCGGAGGAAACCAAGAAGAAUAGUUCCCAAAUUCAGCGUUAUUUGUUCUGGUGCCAUGAACAGAACUUGAAAAUGGCACAGGACCUUUCAUCUGCAGACUACGAGCUGGGACUUCAGUACUAACUUCAUCAAGGCCUGGCCCAUUAUUUAAAUCAAAGUCUCUUGAAACACUUCCGCCAUUAGAUAACCCACUGGACAACGAAGGUUGUUUACUUGGUAAAGAAGGAAUGUCCAUUUUACCCAUAGCGAAAGAUCCAGCUUCAGGAGUCUCAUCUAACCUGUUUAGAUCAAGAUCAAGUCCCACAGCACUGCGGUCAUGUGCUCCAGACUCUAAGGAACCCCGGUAACCAACAUCCUCAAAACCUAUUUCAUCUGCCACAUUUAAAUCAAAAUCUAAAGGAGCACGGCCUUGUUUGACUGAAGUCGUUUCAACGGAAGGAAUAUCACCAGUAUUUGAUGGCAUCUCAGCAUUUUUCCUAGGUUCGGCUGGCCGGAAUGCACUUGUAGCAGCUGAACCUUUCCAUCCAAGUUCCCCCUUACUCCGCAAUGGAUUUUCUGGUAGAACAACUGGUCCUUUGGUAGCAGAAGCCACUGUAAUAGAAGCAUGGAAGGCCCCUGAGAGGGAUGGAAUAGGAAAAGGCAAUGGGCAAGGAACAUGAACUGCAGAUGAACUGGUCGGAUCUUCCUGUCUAACAAUAUCCCCUUGGCCUGCAUCUUCAACGGGGUAUCCCUCAUUUAAAUCAAAGUCCAGUUUUACAGCUGCAUCAGAACCACUAGCAAUUGGGGAUGUAUUAGCAUUGCCUGCAUUCAACUCUGCAGCAACUACAGAUUUCUUUCCUUCUAUAUUAGAAUCACAUGUUUCGGGCACUUCGUUCUCCUUUUCAGAAGUAAUUGGUAUAUCUGAGUUAAGAGAUGAACUGCCAAUGAGCUCUUUUCUAACAGAAUUCUCUUCACAACGUUCAUCAACACCAUCUGCAACUGCUGAAUCCAGAUCCAUUCGUUUCUCAGAAGGCUUGCUCUCAACUGCCAUCACAUUAUUAGUAUUUUCGUCCCUGGAUACCGUCAAAGCACUACCAGAAGCAGGUAACAUAACAUCCUCCCUUUUCACAUCUAUGGACUCACAGGUAUCUGCAACUGGAGAGCCUUUUUGCACAGGUAUAAUACCCGUCACUUUCUCCGCACUGAUCUGGCUCUUACUAUCUACACCUGAAGAUAACUCGGGGGAUAUUUUACCUGGUUCAUUUUCAAUCAUACCACUUGCAACCGUUUCUGAAACUAACAUUUUCCCGUGCUCUGUGAGACCGCCAUCCUUGUUAUCAGUCUUCUGAUCAUCAUCAAAAGAGGAAGUCCUCAACUUUUUAGAGCCUGGACUAGUGCUGUUUUUAGGCCAUUGAGUUCCCGAUUCCCUCCUCUCGUGAAAACCCUCCGCACCUCCCGCCUCUGCAUGAGACUCCUUUCUGCCUGGAAAUACAGUUUCAGACGUAUCCUCUUUGGUGUCAGGCCGUAAGCAUGAACCUUCAGUAUUCUGUAUCGCGUCUGUAGUAGAGAAAUUUACUUGUUUUUUACCAUCACCAGUUUUCUCCACACAGCUAGAUGAAACGGCUUCACCAUCUGAAAAAUCACGCGAUACCAUAGUCACCAGAUGCCUAGAAUUAUUUUUGAAUUGCAAAGUAUUCACAGGAUGCUCUCCGGUAGCCCCACCAUCAGACUGUCUCUGAGUGCGACCAGCUGCUUCAAAAGAAUGUCGAUCAUUCCCUGAGCUUGAUUCAUCAGCUGCAGGAGACUUCCUCUCGGGUGAAGGCAGAGGUGAGACAUUUUCACAUCUGGACAUUUCUCCUGCAGCCACAGAAGCAAGCAGAUUCAUACCAUCAUCUCCGGGGGACACAGAGGAACUUGCUUCAGAAAAUUUCACACAGCUCUCAACUAAUGCAUUCAUGGGGCUUAAAGAAGCAUCAUAUGUCUGCCCUGAUCUGGAAACAAAUCCAGUUGAAGAACUGGUUGUUUUUGACGUUUCUGCUACUUUAUCACCAUCUUCAUUAGCCCUGCACCGCUCAUCCACUCGCGGAGAACACUUAGCUUCAUCACAACCAGUAAUUUCCUUAGCAUUGGAUGCAUCAUUCAUCACAUUCGACACAUGGGUUUGCAAACAAUCAGUUUUAGCUUUAACUCUUCUGUCCUGAUUCUCAUUCUUGUCGGCAGGAGGUGAUGUUUUGCCGCAUGUAAUAGCAGGUUCUUCAAAAGUGCCCCCACUAGCUACCCUGGAAGGACUGCGCCCAGUGUUCGGCAACCUCACAAUCAGUCGUUGAUUAUGCCCUUGAUCGGAAAGGGGCUGAUCAGAUGGUUUUUCAUGGGACAUUCUGGUUGGCGAAACUUUAUCAGAAGGUGAAUUUCUUGUCGAAUUCUUGGCAGAGCUAUGGUCCUUCAGAACUACAGCAACGCCAGCUCCAUGUAUACCAUUACUCGACUUUCGAGAUCGGGAAGCAUUACCAGGAAUUUUGCUCCCACUUAUAGACCCUGCAGUGGAGCUCUUCGCAUGUUCACUAGAACAAGAUCUGCUGUUGUUUUGAGAUUGACUAGAACUACUGCUCCUCUCCUCCUUGAUGGGUGUCAGAGGUAAAUCUGAUGUUGUUGCACCAACAAUGAGUUUAACAUUUUGAUCUUUUGUGUUGCUGCCUACUGAGGCAGUCAUUGAUUUAGUUGAGCCAGGGGAUGAAGAGAACUUGGAUAGUACUUCUCCAGAAUUAUGUUUAGAUUGGGAAUUUUUGGAUGCUGAAGGUUGAAUAGGAGAGCUCUUCGCAACAUUCUCAGAGGAUCCUCCGGUUCUCCUAUUUCCAGAGUGAGAAACAUCUGACGGUGAUGGCUUUGUGGGCCAAGAAACAGCACGGGUUGAACCAGGUUUUGUAUCAGUCAUAUUCAUUUCAGCUUCAACACGCUUUUUCCAUGUGUCUACCAAACUCCUGGCUUUCCUCUGAAUUUCAGAAUUUUUGUGGCUGCGUAAAUUAUUAACAGAUUUUCCAACAUUACAGGUUUGUAGUGCAUGAAGGUUCACAGGAAGCUUAUCCAAUGCACGGAGUAAAGCUAACAAAAAUUCUUCAGACUUAUCAACAUUACCAUCGCCAAUUUUCCCCUUAUGGACCUCUUGUAGCCAUUCAUCUAACACAGGCAAACCACGAAGCUGUACGAACCAGCCUAGACAGUCAUAAUGUUCUGUGAGCGAUAUCACGUCAACAAGCAUCGUUCUCCCAGCCAAAUCAAUUUUUUUAUCAGCACUAUCAGGUUGCAUGAGCUGUACAAAUUUUUCAACCCCUUCAAAGUCCACAAGCCCGCCUUUUUCAGUGAUUCUAGCAAUCUCGGUCCUUAGCAUCUCCAGUCUAAACUGACCAGAAUCUCCAACUUCUACCUUAAAUAAUCGCUCUUUUUUAGACGAAUCAGAUCCCUGAUCACCUCGCUCUCUCUUUUUUCCCUUACCCUGUACACCAAAUGAAGAACUAUUUUGAAUGUUAUCAGAACUAGAUUUCAAUGACUGUGUUGACGUUGGACCAUUCAAUGGUUUUGGAGAACGGCCUCCUGACUGCACAGCCCCAUGCAUUUCUAGUUUUGUCUUGUCUAAUAGGUGGUCAACUUCUUCCUGCUGAUCCUGAAUCAACGGAAAGAUCACAAAUUUAUCAGUUAUACACAAUUAUACACAAAAAAUAGUGAAAGAAAAUAAAAUAUAUAUGAAGACUUACAUUAACAAAGUCCUUAUCAGUUAGCCACCGUAAACAAUUGUUGUCAAUGUCGUACACUCGUCUACAAACAAAUGCGGAUAUCCCUGAAGGAAGUUCAACACCUUUACGGAGAAAUGCGACUUUACAAGGAUGGAGUAAUGAUGCAGCAUGUGUCUCAUCCUUGUGAAAGGAGUAGAAGACUUCGUUUGGUGCAGCUUCCACUGCAAUCCCUUUAGAGAGCUUCAAAUCAGCAGGUCGGUAAAACCAAUUCACUUCUAAACUUGGACUUUCUUCUUUAUUAAAUAUUAACUUGCGAAUUAUUCCAAUAAAAGGAGGCGAAUCCUGGGGUGGUUUGAAUAGUGCACAGUCACCAACACGAAUCUUGCGUCCAUCCUACAAUGAGUAACAAUGAGAACUAAUUAGAUCAAAAGAUAUUCAGGAAGACAACAAGCAGGAACACGACAAGGACAUAAAAUGAAUCUCGAAGCAGUUGAAGCAACUAAAAAUAAUUGGCAAAAACAGUUACGGAAAAUUAGAUGCUAAUCUAAUAAGCAUAGAAAAAUAUAGAUACACCAAUAUCGAAAGGGGGAUGCAACGAAGAUAUACCAAAUGCAAAGUUCAACAAAAAAAACGUAAAUGAAUUCAUUAAGUUAAACAAAGACAUAAAAAUUUGGAAUAAGAUUCAAACAUGAUAGAUUUACAAAAAAUUUAAAAGCAAAUUGAAGCUCAAAAUGCAAUCAAUCCAACCAUCAAAAUGCAAAAAUGAUUGAGCUCAAAAACCAAGGUUUUAAUCAUCCCUUGGUCACGUCAUCGAUAUUUAACAAAAUUUAGAAUGAAAUGACAACCAUAAAUGAUUUAAGAUUUUGCAGAAGUAAAUUAAAGCUCAAAAUGCAAUCAAUUCAACCAUCAGAAAAAAGUUUCAAUACAGAUAGAUCUCAACAAAAACAAUGAAUCAUUAAGAAAAAUUUAAUCACUUUAAAAAACAAUCUGCAAUAGCGAUUGUGGGAACACUAUCAAAACAUGAAUACAGCAAAUCUGGAAUAAGAUGUCGAGCAUAAAUGAUUUGCAAAAUACAGAAAACAGUUAUUAAAAACACCAACAACCAAGAUUGCGGUGAGGCUUUUUACAUAAAUACAACGGCAAUGCAGUUACAAUUGCCGCUAAUAACCUCAAAAUCAGACACAUUUGGCAAAAUUUUCCCACAAUAUCAACUGUAAUUUAAAAAACAAAAGUACCCAUUUUGUUAACACAGACACAGAUAAACCCAAAUAACAUCCAAAGAACUCAAGGACAUUCAUCCAACCCCCAAAACACCUCAAAACAAUUAUAAAAAAUAAAAUAAAAUCCAAAUUCCUUUUAAAAUCAAAAUAAUCACCUCUUUAAACAGAUUAAAGAACAGAUCAAAAAAACCUCUCAUCCAGAUUAAGGUAAUCAAACACAAAAACCAUGAAUCUCAUAAAUAUAAAAAUACACAAAAUCAGCUCAAAAACCAUAAAUCAUAAAUCAUAAACCAACACCAAAAUCAGCUCAAAAAACAUAAAAUAAAUCCAAUCAAAAGCUGAUAGAUAAGCAAAUUAAUUCAUCUCAAUUUCAAAACCAAUUAAAUUUAACAUCAAAAAAGGAAGAGAAAAAAAUACAAAAUCUUAUGAAAAUUUAAUCAAUCAACAAUAAAAAACGAAACUUUAGAAGAAAAUAAUAGAAUUGAUAUAUACUUUGCAUAUAAAUUUUGACGGUGAAGAAACGGUGACUACAGUGGUCGGGUUAGAAGGUACAGGCCACAUGUGCCGAUUGUGUUUCCACUUCUUCUCACCACCAAACCCAUACAUAAUCCUCCAUCAUCUUCUUCCCUGAAAAGAAACAUCAAUUCCCAAAUUCGAAACCCUAGAUUCCAAAAUCAAUUUCCAAUAAAACCCUAGAUCAAGCUAAGAUCUCAUAUUACAACACACCAUGAUUGAAAAUUCGAAAGAAAAUCGAUCGAAUUGAAAUGAAUUAGGGAUUAAUUAAGGUUUGGUGGAUUUUUCUAGGGUUUUGUGUGACGAAAAAAAGGGGAUUUUUUUGAGGGAUUUUUGGUGUGAAAUUGAUGGUUGUAGAUUGAAUCUAUAGAUAGAUCGAUGAGGGAAUUUUGAUUGUUGUGAAAAUAGAGAAAAUCUGAGAGAUUUUCUGCGAAUGAAUCGCGAUGGUGAUGAGAGAGAAAGUUGUGAGAGAGAGAAGAGUGAGAAUCGCGAAACGGUGAAGAUUUUGAGACAAUAAUAAUAUUUUGUGACAAAAUUUUCGGUUUUUUUUUUUUUGUGUAGUUAUAUAUAAUUUUUAUUUAGGUUAAUUGCAAUCUUGGUCGUGUAUUAUGUUUAAUUUACAAUUUUGGUUUAUUUGUUUUUAAAAUGCUAUGAUUUUUUUUUUUACAUUAUGGAUUUUAAUGAUGUUGUAAAUGAGAUGUUUAUAUGACAAUUCGAGUACGAUGAUGAUGUCUUGUUUUAUGUAAGUAGAUUUUCUCGAGUAGAAUCUCAACUCUUUUGUUUACUUCGAGUAAAUUCUCAUUUAACAAUUCGUUUUUAUUUGAAGAGAUCUUCUUCUGUUAAAUUUUUCUCUAGUAAAAUCAUGGUUACCUGUUUUUCUUAUUAGUUGUUUAAAACAUUGAAAAAAAAUUGAACGCAAGAUAAAUUUAUGGACUUUUCUAUAGUGAAAAUUUCACAAGAGAGGAUUCAAAACGAUUCUUAUGAAAUCAAAAUAUAUAUCGUAAAAUCAUAGGGUAGUUUUGAUAUAUAUUUUUAUUACAAAGAAGACCGAAGUCCGAGAUUGUCUUGAUUUUAGUUAAUCCAAAGUCAGACAAAAUAUAUUAUAUUUUAGAUAUAUGUAUUUGUGGUUUAAUGUUAAUGAUGUCAUCGAUAUCGAUGAGAUUUUUAUGUGUCAGUUGUGUUGAUGAUGACAUUCUUGGUAAAUAAAUUCUCACCUAACAAUUCAUUUUUAUGUUACUAAAAUAUGCAUCAGAGUGUAUCAUUGAACAACUACAAUUGAAAUUUGAACUCACAAGACAAAACUAUGUUGCAUUAAGUUUGAAUUUGACUGAAGAUGUUCAUCUGAUAAUUUUAACAUUAUCAAUUAAAUUAAAUCUCAUAAGUUAUUUAAGUUUUCUUUUUUAAAAAACUAUAUAUUUUUAGUUUUAUUAAGACCAUAAAACAUGGGCCUGCUAAACGAUGUCGUUUGAUGCUUUCGUAACAUUCACGUGGCUCAUUUGCGUAUUACGUGCGUGCUUUUUACCUCAUUGUCGUGCCUACGCAAUGCCUAACCCCGUUUUAUAUUAUAGUACUACUAAAUGUGAUGUACUCCAUUUUGUUUUGACAAAAAGAAAUAGUAAAUAGUUAAAUACCCUUUUUAAGGAAAUUAAAUUACCCAUAAACUGUUACUUUUUUUAAGGACCUCUUAGUGUGUGUUUUUAGAGGUGUUACUUAUUGUAUUUGUUGAUAAUUAGACUAUUUUUUGAAAUAAAUUGUACUAUUAAUUGUUUUUUUAAGUAACAAAUGAAAUUACAUAGCGACGGAUCAAAACUCAUCAACAUAAAAUGUGUCAAAAAUAAAAGGUUAAGAAAAUAAUUGCAAUGUCACAUGUGACGUUGUAUGGGUAUGGUUAUGAUGAAAAAGAUUAUUCAUUGUAAUUAGCCUUCUAAAUUUUUCUUACCAUAAAAGGUGAAAGGGUUUAGAUCUCGGCAAAUGUUGAACGUAGAUAAAUACUUCCCCCGUCCUAAAAUAUAAGUAAAAGUUGGUCAAUAAAAAUUAAUGCAUUUAGUUUAAAAUUUAUACCAAAUAUAUUAACUUAUGUUGACUGAUUUUUAUUUACAUUUUAGGACGUAGGGAGUAUAAAUAAAUAAAUGGAUGAAAUAAGUCUUAAAUGAAUUGAAUACAAUGAAAAAUGUUAAAUUAUGGAACUAGUAGAAAGAUAAAAGAAGGUCAAAUACAAAACUUAACCAUUAUUCUAUAAGAGUGUAUCAAAGGAAAAGAAAGUAGUAAGUGAGUAACUUCUUUGAUCUUCUUUAUACUCUUCUUGUCAAUCAAAGCUCCUUUUUAUAGAAGAAGAUCAAGAGAAUUUUUUUUUGUUAUGUUUAUUCUCUUAAUUGUUAGAUCAAGUUAGCAUGUCUCUUUUCUCUUACCAAUUUUAUUGAUUCCACUUUGACCACUUAACUUUACUUCUAUUAACUUUACUUCUAUUUAUAUUAUAACACAAGGUUCAAAGUUUUCUUUUUAUUUUUAAUACGGAUAUGGAUAGUAUUGAUUAUUUUAUACGAUUCUUUUUAUUUUCAUCUAAAUUCUUUAAAAUUGGUUUACCUCAUUUGAUCAUUUUAUUGUUGUAUUUGAACAACUUACAUGAAUUUCUUAAACAAUACGAUUAAGUCACUUGUUAAAAUUGACCGAAUCGAAUCAAAAAUUAAAUUGACCAUGCAAUUGAACCGAUACAAAGAAACUUCAAUAGUGCACAUAGAGGUAGCUUGUUAAAUGUAAGAUUUAUAAGUGUUGGAUGUUACUUAAUAACCAACUUUGAGUAAUUUCAUGACACUUAAAAGCAACUUUAUUCACCUUCAUGAUAUUAUAGAAAUUAUCUCUAACUUUCAAAUGACCUAUUUUUUUAUCUCAAAAUGGCAGUUUUAAGUCUAGAUAUUGUCUUCAAUACUAGUUAACCUAAGUAAUUGUUAGCAUUUCCCAAUAUAAUAUAUCACCUUAAAUUUGUAGUUCUUUUAACUAUCCUAAAAGGUUGAAUUUGAAUUUUCUAUGAAGAAUAGAGUUGUAGAUUUUUUUUAUUUGCUUUCAAGUCAGAUAAAGAACAUCUUAUUUUAAUAGAUCUACUAGAUUGUUUUUUUGAUAGGUUGUAUUAUUUCUUAUAACUUAGAUACUUUUUUAGGGGUUCUGAUAACUUAAUACUUCUUCAUGUAUUUAAAUUGCAAGGUAUGUUAACAAUGUGUUUUUAUUAUUUGGUAUUUAUAAAAUAUUUAUUUUUAAAUAAUAUCAAUUUAGAACAAAUAUAUUAUCUUAAUAAGUACAAUCAUGUAUUAUAUUAUGAAAAUACUUUAAACGGAUAUAGUGUUUUAUAUUCUGUUUACUAUACACACCCCUUGUUUCUUUGUGUUCUCUUUUACUUGUGGACCCUUUUGUUUUAUUAGGCCAUACUUCGUUUCCUUGUCCUCUAGUCUGUUUACUUGCAGCACCUCCGUUGUCUAGCUUACUGCACCUCCACUUUCUUACUUAAAGACUUGAUAUUUGCACCCUGUUUCUCCUCUAUUUCUAUUUGUGCACCCCUUAGUUUUUCUCACCAUAUUAAUUAUACAUACCUAAUAUUCUACUCUCCUUCCUCAACGAUUUUGGUUUUCAUUAUUCUCCUCUACAAAGUUGGUGCUUUUUCUUCAUUUUGUUUCUCUUGCUCACCACAUGAACCAUUCCUUAAUUUUGUUUCUACUCUCCACUUUCUUCUUUGAAUUUCUUGACAUGAUUCUCAUCAUAUUCCUUUUCAUGCAUCUUCUUAAUUUCUCAUAGUUUUCUUUUUCCUCCUCUUCUUCUUUCUCAAUCUCCUCUUCCUCUUCUUUUCUCUCAUGCCUUUCUUCUAUCUCUCCCUAUUUUUUUCUUCAUUUUCCAUCAUCCAUGAAUAAUGAUAAUUAUUCUUUAAGAAUCUACAACAUGAGUCAAAUUAGUUUUAUUAGUUAUUAAAGUUCAUUUUUAAGAACACUUAAUCUAUUUAAAAGAAGUAAUUUGACUCAUGUUUGAACUUCUUAGAUACUAAAGUAGCAUUAGUUUAGAUAUUUCUCUAUAAUUAAAGUACAAAAUAUAAGAGUUGAUGUUUUUUUUUUAAAAUAUUCUUUUGGCUGUACAUAAAUAAAAUAAAAUAAAAUAAAAUAUAACAUCAUAAGAUAGUGAGUGUUCUAAGAUUCUUCCAUGCUUCUUCUAUAGAACAACAUCCACAAAAUAAGCAAACCUGUAUUUCACUUUUGGCCAAGCAAAAAGCCUUGAUAGUGUGCAGUGAAAUUUAUUAAUUUUUUUGGUAUUAUGAUUCCUGCAACUGCAGACCAGAACAUAUACCUCUUUAACACACAAACCAAAACAACCAUAUUAUAGUACAAAAAAAAUCCAAUUACAUGUCACCACCACUUGGUCCACCACAACAAUUUUGGAAUGCCCUUAUGUCAUGUACGGUUUGAUAGUGAAAACACACAUAACAUAUGCACCAUGCAGCCAGCUUAGCUAAUCAAAAGGGUAUCCACCAUCCAUGUGUGAAUUUCAAAUUUGAAAAACAUGCAUAAUCUUAGGCCUAAUUAUCUAUUAUUAACUUUUUUUUGGUACAACUAUUAUUAUCUAUUAUAGGACAGAAUUGGACCAUAACAGAAUUUAGGUCUAUAUUUGACACAAUAAUAUGAUAAUAUCAUCAUAUUUUUUUAGGUAAACCAGAUAUUCCAAGUCCAGAGAGAAUAUAAUUAUUUGUAGUAUUUCUAUUUAUUUAAAUGGUUUAGAUUGAUCUCUUCUAUGCACAUCAAUCCAAGAUUGGAUUUGUGAUAAUAUAGUAACUUUGCUCCUUUUUUUUUUUUUUUUAUGGUCGAGGUUUGAACCUCAAACCUUACAUAUAUUAUGCAUUGUCAUACCAACUGAGUUAAGCUCACGAGGAGAGUAACUUUGCUCCUUAUUUAAGUUUAUUCAAUUACAAUUUUUGCAUAUAUUAAAAGAAUAAUUGUGUAUUUAAUGUGUCUAAAUUUUAUGAUUUUCACAUAUACUAAAAAAAAAAGUGUAUUUAAUGUGUUCAAUUAUUGUAUGAUUUUUUUCUAAAUUAUUUUUAAAAAAAAAAAUAAAUAUUCAGUAAUUUUAAAUAUAAUUAAAGAGAAUUUAUAUUUUGGAACAAAUUAAUGUGACACUUAAUAAACUUAAAUAUCAGUUUUAGUAAAAAAAAAAACUUGAAUAUCUCUUGACUAUGUCAUCCCAUAUUGAUGCAAGAUUACCUCUUAAUUAUGUUGCACUAUAUUGGUUAAACAUCACCUACAUAUGGUUAAUUGGUUUUGUGACAUUAGAUUUUCAUAUAUGUGAUCUAUGAUAUGUCACAUUCCAAACCCACUUUAGAAAUGGAAUAGCAUACACUAUAGUCAAUAUCAUCACUCCUCACAUGGUUUGUCUUUUCCUACUUUGGUGUUUAUGAUAUAUGUUUGAAAGAUUUGUUUGUGUAUUGAGCUUUUGAUAAAACCCAUAAGAAUUAGAAACCGUCCAAACCACACGGGUCUUAGAUGUUGAUGGAGGAAAGUGAUUGAUUAUUUAUGUUGUUGUUUUCUUUUGAGAUGUUUAUUUAUAUAAUUUUCUACUAUUUGUGACUGUUGAAAGCAACAUUUGGGAACGUAUCUAAAACACUGUCCUCUAUUUCUUUAUUUUGAUUAAGACAUGCUAGUAGUAAUUGUUUUUUAUUUAGCUUUAAAUAAUAAUUAUUUAAGAGGAGUGGACAAGCAUUACAUGUUCUUUCGUGAGGUUAGGGGCAGCUGAGGUGAUGAUGGCCACAUAUGCAUGUGGGAUACCUGUUAUGAUUAUGACUCAUGUAAAUCAUAGUCCAUUCAUUUAAGAUGAGAAUAAAUUGCAUCAUUCUACUAACUACUAAUUCAUAAACAAAUAAAUAGGGUUAUGUACUUUGAAAUAUUCAAAAACAUAAAUUAUUUGGUGGUAAAUUAUUAUUGUUUGAAUUAAUGAAAUUAUUUGAUUAUAAAAUUAUAGUUUAUUCUUGUGGAAAAAAUAUAAAUAUUAUUCAAUGAUUAGAUUCAUAAAAAGAAUAUUAUAUCUUUUGUAAAAAAAAAUUAUAUCUAAAUUUAUUAGUAUAAUAACAUGUCACAUGGCACGGUUGCGCUUAUGCCUUGAACACUUUUUUUUUUUUGUUACAAACCUAAAAAAAAAGGAGAGAAAGAAAAAAACAACACUCCACUAAAUUAAGUUCUUAGAGAGUUGGUUGAGAGUUCAAGAGAAGGGAAGGAAUGGACCAUGAAACCAAUGUUAGAAGAAGCACAAAACUUAGCUAAAAAGUCAAUAAUAUUUUUUCUUUUUCAAAGUGUGUGAGCGAUGUGGGCCUUCCAAUAUUGAUAGAGAAUGUCUUUGAUGUCUUAGAUCAAAGUAGUAUACUUGUGAAAUCUUGGAGUUUAACCUUGAAGAAGUUUAACACAAAUAGCAAAGUUUAUGAAACAAAAAAACACCAUGGUGAUUCAACUACAUAGCUAAUGAAAGCCUCUAGUGAAUUACAUGAAGUUCAACAUUAAGAAUCUCAUAGAAUUUUGGGAUGAACCUCGAGAAGCUUGAGAUUCAAGAAUCAUAAAGGUGAAAAAGUAAAUCACUAAAACCGACUUUGAUAGGGUUGUCAAGGCAACUGCCAUCAACAUUGAGAACAAUAUAAUCUUGAUUGGAGGAAUUCUAUUUUACCCAUCUGUCAUGUCUCUCAAACGGCUACCACGAAAAGACUCAUGUUUAUGAUAUGUUUGAAAGAGAUGAAACAAGAAGUAAUAUUGCAUGCUUAGUGAAGGAUAGUUGUAUUUGAGAAGCAAGUAGUGUUACAUUUUUGCUAAGACCACCAAAUUCAGAAAGUAAAAAUUUGUCUGCUUAUAACAGAUAACCCCUCCUUAAGCCAAAUGAUAGGGUUCAAAUUGGAAAAGUACCUAAUAAAGGGUGCAUAAUGCAAUAGAGAAUGUAAAUCAAUUAUUUUUAGAUGUUGGGCGGUCUAUAAUGCAAUGGAGAAAAGACUACAAUGUGGACAUAGUCCAUUUGGACCAAAUUGCGACGUUGUAGCAAAAACAAGGUUGGGAUAAAAUUGUUACAUGUCAAUCACACAAUAAACUUGAUCUUUUAUAGAAGGUGAAAGCACCAGGUCUAAGACUAAGAUAAAAAUGUUACAUUAAGAUUUUUCUGACUCAAAAGUCAGGUGUAACCAAACCUUGGUAGUAAAAUAAUCAUUAAUGUUAUCAAACCAAAGGAGAGUAUCUUCAAUGUUUGGAUUAAAGUGUGUAACGCUCGAGGCUGACAAGGACGAGGAGUGGUCGCCGAUGCACAAUGCAUGACAAUGUGCGACUCCUGGUAGCUUCUAGGCAAACCAAAUCACAUCGGAAUGAGUGGUACUACAUCGGACCGAGCAGGUAUGAGACUACAUGGUUGGAAGAAGGCUUACAAGAAUUGUUUGGUAUUACAUAUCUAAACAAGAUGCAUCUUCUUUUCGGUAGCUCAUUUCAUAAGAACUUCACAGUUAAACAUUAUUGAUUUGGAGUAGUUUUUGGAUGGGUGACCUUCUGAAAAGUUUUCCGAAAAGCAUGUGAGUGAAGACAAAGUACGCUGAAAAAACUCGUGUUGAUUUGUGGGAUCAGUCAACAAUAUUUAAAGUCAACUGAGAUGUUACAAGUGGUAUUAGAGCCAACAUCUCCCACUACAAUAUUUUAUUUUGAAUUAGUCAUUGUCCUAAUUUCUUUUUAUUUUGGCAUAAAAUACUAUUUUAGUCUCCUAUAUAUAACUCAUUUAAAUCGAUUUUUAAAUUUACAAUUUUGACCUCUUAAUUUUUAAAAUAUUGACUUUUUCUCCAUAUAUACAAGUUUAGAUUCAUUAAAAUUUUACAUUUUGAGAUUGAAUUUUUAUAAUAUGUUAAUAAGCCAGAUAGUUAUGUGAAUGUGACAACGACCAAACAAUCGGUAUGAUAAUGCUUAACUAGAUUUUCAUUUAAACACUAAUUUUUUGUUUCAUCAAAAUAUACAUUUUUUUUUUAUAAGAAGCUAAAUUAGCACACCUAAAUUGACACUAGAGAGAAUCGAACAUAAGAUUUCGAAGAAGAACACACUCCCAGAUCCAAACCAAUACCAUUAGACCAAUCUAAGUGGGUUCAAAAUAUACAUUAACUUAUAUCACAAAAACAAUCAAAUUUAUUAUAAGACUCUUGUCAAAGUGAAUUCUCACUAACAACUCACUUGCACGACAUAAACUUAAUUGUCAUUUUUUUAUGUCAAAUGGUCUAGUGUUUUUUUUUUCUUUUCCUAAAACAAAGUUAACUAUUAUAAUUAAUCAACCAAUAUUAAAUCUAAGAAGGAUAAGAAUAAAAAAUAUGAUGACUAGUUCAAGAAGUGGUUAAAAAUUCACCUCUUAAAGUAAACAUGUGAUAUGUUUAGGGUUUAAACUCUAUCUUCCUGUAUAUAUAAUACAAUAUCUCUAUCAACUGAGUUUAGCUCACAGACAUAACUUAAUUGCCACUUAACUAUCUCACUUGUCAAAUUAAAAAUUAACAUCAAAUGGAUAUGUGCAAAUAAAAUCAAACUAUUUUAAGAAUUAAGGGAUGCAUCCAUGAAUGAGACAAAAUAUGGGGAUUAAAAUUAUAUUCAAUCUCUUUUUUUUAACCUAAGACGUGUAAGAUUGCUUAAGGUGUAUAUAUCAAUUGUCACUAUCAUUUGUCUUUUUAUGAAAACUUAACUUAGUGGUAUAAUCCUCCCUUCAGUCACAAUCUACUAGUAAUAUAUAUGAUGCAUCACCAUGGCCAGCAUUUUCAGUAAAUUUCAAAGUCUCUAAUUAACAAUCUAAGAAGACAAAAUGGAAUGAAAUUCUGGCUUGACAUCAAAAUACACGUCUCUUUCUUUCUUUUGCUAGUAUUUUUUAGGGGGAAAAUGUAGAUUGAUCUAUCAUCAUAUAAACAAAAAUGUGAACAUCACAAUUUUUAUAUAUCCUUGAAAUGGUGAUCCUUGGGCUAGUUUAAAUUAUACUCUAGCUGGCUAAAUCAAGUAAAGAGGAUCUAUCAAUAGCUCAAACCACAUGACAAAGGUGAGAAAAAUAAUCAAAAGUGACCCAAAUAAGAUUGACAAUUUUUUGUGUAGACUUGAAAAUUGUUUCCUUAAGCAUUAAGAGUCAAAUCAUUUAUAUUAAAAUCAAAAUUAAGACAAGGACAACAAGAUUUGUGCAACUAAAGUCCAUAGUAUUACAUAUGUUAGACGUUAGUGUAGGGGACAUCAAAAUACAAUUAAGUGGGUUAUUCCAUAAUUUAUAAAUCAAUUUCCAAUCUAAGCAAGAAUUCUGUUUUAUUGAAUAGCUACUAUUUUGAUUAUGAAUCAUGUAGAAGUAUUUUAAAAUGAGAUAAUUUUAGUUUAACUUUAAAAAAUAGUAAACAACAAUUCAGUUUCUUUUGUAAAAAUAAAAUAAAAUAGUUUCUUGAAAUUAUAGAAAACAACACACAAUUCCUUGAAAUUAUAGAAAACAACAAACAAUUUAUAUUUUGAAAUUAAAAUAAUUUAAAAAUAUUGAAUUGUAUUUGUUCAUCUCAAAUAAUUUAAAAGAUAGAAUUUAUGUUUUGCCAAAUUAUGAAUUCUUUUGAAUCAGUCAAUUCUAAUUUGUGUUAACUCUGAUGUUCGCACAAAAAAUAAUCUUGGUAAUUAAGAGUUCAGAAGAAGGUAAAAAAAAAUCAGACUAAAAAUUGUUUCGUCCAGUCUUUGGCGGAUUUAGUCAAAUUAAUUGGUUACAAUAUUAAUCCUUCAGUUAAGUUAUGAACCUUGAUAAUCUUAAGUUCAGUCAGAAAGUAAGUAAAUUCAAAUAAAAAAUUAUUCCAUUUAAAAUGAAACUCCAAUUCUUCUAAAUAAUUCGUCUUUCGUAUAGAUCAUUAACCACUUGAAACAAAUUGAUUAUUAAAAUACUAAUUUAUUUAUAUAUAUUAGAUAAAGUCAAGUUGAUUUGACAAAAUUGGAGUUGAUGGGGGUGUGUGGUUGAGGUGGUGGAUAUUGAAAACGAAAGAUAUUGACUAGUUAUAGCAAGUGACAAAUCAUGAUGAUAAUAAUUAUUAUUGUGGACACGGAACUGCUUUUGAUGCUCUCUUUAUCAUUUACUAUAUGCAAUAUAUUGAUGCAUGUCUCUAUCACUAACAUGGCUUUCGUUAUUAGGGAUUGUUCCUUAAGUCAGUUCUUGCUCCCCAAGGCAUGGUGGCUCAUCACUUUGGACCUCACUUGUGGGCCAACGAUAUGAAGAGUUCAAUUUACACUUGUCUCUUUUUAUACAAGCCCAUUGGGCCACAUGGUUUUUCCUAUUCAACAAAUUUUCUUCGAAAAUCGCUCUGCUGAUCCUUUGUAUCGUUCAUUUUUGGAUAAUAACUUUAUUAGAAGAUGACUUCUAGUAAGGUUUGAUGGCAGAAGAAACCUUACUAGAAGAUGGAUUCCGAUGGAUAGGGUGGGGAAGCAGAGCAACAAAAGGAGGGGGAUGAGUCGCACCCAUUUUCUUUUAGAUCUGGUGCAUGUUUGUAUCCCGCAAAGACAUGAGAAGAAUCGAGUAACCAUAAUUUUGUAAAACCUAAUCCAUCGUGAUACUAAACACACCAAAUUUAUAUACAUAUCAGUAAUCUUUAUUUUUGUUAUCAAUCAAUUGUAAUUGUCAGAUUAUUUAAAACAAGAUAUACGAUUGAUUAUGAUGUAUUGACUGUGAUUUCUUUUUACUCUGACAAUGUACUAUUAAAAUUAUACUUUUUAAUUUUUUAUUGCCUUUUUAUCCCAUACCUUAGACUUUGCAAGACACAUAAAUAAAUAAAUACUAUACACAUAGCACAAUCAUGAUAAUGUUAGCUUUUGUCACUUUUUUGGAAUGUGUCCCCAUAUGCUAUGGUGUUUUCAUUUAACACAUUCUAUAUUGCAUGAUUGAUUGUGGGCCCCAAAAAGUGAAUAAAGUAAAAUAGGAUGACUCAACAAAACCAUGAACAUGAUUGAUGAUAAAUGAUAACAAUGUCUACUUUUGCCAGAGAAAUUUAGAUAUGUGCUGACAACAUAAGCAAAUGCAUGUGUGCCACUUACCACUUUUUAUGAGUACAGAAGGAGUAACAAACUUUCCUUUUGGUUAACAAAUUGAACAACUUUCAAGACAUACUCAACAUUUGAGGUCAGUGUCAUAGCCAUUUUUUAUUUUUUAUUAUUUUCAAAAAGUUGGUCCUAGUCUUUUGUUUGGCCAUAAUGUCAUAUGAAUAAAUGGCCUUAACUAUAUUGGUUUUGAUGGUGAACCUUUGUGUGUGAAGAACAGAAUUUGUAUGGUAAGGAAAAUAAUUUUGUGUUUACUUUGAUCCGCGAUACGAGACCUAUGAGAAGGACGCAGUCACACAGUUGAACGAUCUCAGCCGAUUGAGUAAGUGAUAUAGUUACGAGAUUUUACUUUUUUUUUAAGCAAAGUUACGAGAUUUUACUUGACAAGUUUGGAUUUGAUUUAUAUUGACUAUUUUAUUAACGUUAGAUUUCUGAAUAUUUGUGCAUUUUCCAUUUUCAUUUUGUUGUUUAGGUUAGGUUUGUUUUUCUAAUUUCCUUGUUUAAUAGUGUUACACAAAUUAGGAUGACUUUAUAGAACACACAUUUCUUCAAAAUUCAAACAUAAUUUUGAUCUAUUUUGGUGAAUAAAAGUACUAGUAAUAAUUAAAACAUUUCACAAAAGUCUUUACUUCAAUUUUGUACAAAAAGUUACCAAACUGACAAAGCUUUAUUCAAUGUACACAUUACUGACAAAGUUUCAUACAUUUCAUAAACUAUCAAUUGAACCAUCUAUUGCACAGUUUACUUGACUCAACAUGAUAUUCUGUGUAAAGCUAUUGAUUUGGCUAAUUGGCUAUUAUGCUUUUUUGGUUUUGGAUUUUAUGGUUUUUGAGUAAGCUUUUUAUGAAUCAAUCACUGUUUGAAUUUCAUGUUUCAACACUGACAUUAGUUUAAACUUCAUUGAAUCACUCCUUUUUGAAGAACAUGCAUUCCUAUUUGGCUUGUUUCUGUGUAUGUUAAACUCAACAUCAUAGGAUCCAAAUAUGUUUAGGGUUUUGUAUUUGAUGAGUUUCCUUAACCAUAUAACAAGUUUUUUUUAAGGAUCUCCCUUGUGUAACUUAAAUGAAAAAUCUUUCAAUGUCUAACAAGUAAUGUUUUAGAAACCGAAUCGAACAUUGAACUGGUAGAUAUUUGAGUCAUGGUUCGAUGACAAUAAAUCACUCGUACCGAGAUGAAAUUGCAGCCAACCGCUCAAAUAAUUGAACUGUAUAUAGUGUUGGUAUAACCUUCCAGUCCACUUUUAUAAACGGUUCUGUUAUUUGUGCGGUUGGCCGCAAUUUCAUCUCGUUAUUUGAAGAUGGAAGACCACUGAUGUUGGUAUAACCUUCCAUGUCAAAUUUUGUUUCAGUCAAGGCUGAGGAGCAUUUGGAUUUUGGACUCCAGAGAGACUAGACGACCACUGAUGAUGGAACAAAUAAAUUUGAAAUGUGUUUAUGAUGCUUAUGGGUCUAAAACUCAACUAAAGUUGCCGUAAGGUUUAAUGUACAUUUUAUUGUAACAGUAGAAUUAAGAAUUCAUUUAUAUUUGUAAAUGAAAUUGUAUAUUUUAACAUGAGUGAAAAUGAUUCCAUUUAUACUGAAAAAUAAUGCAACUUAUGCAAGGACAUCUUGUUUAUUGGAUAAUGCAACUGCUCUAUAAAUAAGCAUAUAUAGUAACAUAUUUAUGUGAAUAUCUUGUUACUAAAUGAAUUUGAGAAUGUCAUCAUGUUAUAUAAAAAAAUCAAAUCAGCACAUAGGCCAUUUGAUUUAAAUCAUUUUUCGUGAUUUCAUAAUAGGAGAAUUAUAAUCUAUAAUAGGGUAAGGUAGCAGGUAACCUUGCUUUUUAAAUUUUACCCUAGUCCUACUAUUACCACAGGUUUCAAGUAUAGUAGUUCUAUUCACAUUACUGGUUAUGAAGACUAGAAAAUAGUUGUGAUUUUAGCAUGAAAGGUCACUACAAAUUUAAAGCUUGAUAUGCAGAAAUAGACAUAUGAAGGAUGGAUAACUCAACCAGUAUUUGAGUGAAGGAACCAUUCAUAAACUUUGGCCAAAUUUGCAUUGGAAUGUAGAUUUUUAAUUGUAUGUGUUUAAAAAGUUGAGUCAAAGAGGUUGUAUAAGUUAUGUACUUGUUUUUAUUCCCCAAGUCAAAUUUUAAAAUAAGCAUUUUGUUUAACUGAGAUUCAUUAAAGGGAUUGACAUCUUCCGACGUAUGUUUUUCCAUACACAACCUCAGGAAUCAAACUCAAGAUCAAAUGGUGAAGGGACUUAAGCAUCUACGAGUUGUGUCACAUUGGUGGCUAAAAUAAGCAUUUAAUUAAACUCUAAAGUAGCUUAUGGACGAAGUGGUUGAUUAAAUAGCAUUACAGACUAAUAGAACAUAUGUUGUGACAUUAGAGCUCUCUAAAAAAUGUUCCAAAAUAUAGUGACACUAGUCACAUUAUCACAGGCCAAGUUAAUAGAGCCUACCUGGGGUAUUGGUACACAAAGGAUGGUCAAAUUUUGAUAAUACACCCAAUAAUUAGGAGAAUUUCUCCUCCACCCCCAUAUGUUCUUAAAAAUCUCUCAUCCUUAUUUUUUGAGAAAAUCAGCCAUCUCCGAAAGUAUACUUCUGGAUGGAAUUUGUCCAUUUGUAUCAUUAUUAAAAUUUUGCUAGGAAUAAAUGCAGUGCAAGAAUUGAAAUUUAAUAUCGUGUAAUGAUCGCCUAUUCAAUAACAUAGUGGAGACCGUCCGUGGGGAAAGUGGUAGAAAAGAUUUAAGGAUUUAGCAUAGCGGUGGUUUUUGAGUAGGGCAGCAAAAUCAUUUUGCCUCUACUACGAACGGUGUUGGGAUCCUCAAGACUGUUUUUACGGUGAUUUUCUGCAUGGGGUGUCAUUCAUGUGUGCUAUCGCAGGUCUUUUCUGGUUUUCUGCUGGUUUUUAGCAAGUUAAGUAGCAUCAUUUUAUUACAAAGUUUUCUCUAUAAAGAUAUAGAAUAUAAGGUUACUAGUUCGUGAUUUAGAGUCUUAAAACAUUGGACUCUUCUACUUAAACUUCAUUGUUCGUGAUUUAGAGUUCUAACUUGCUUGUCGUGGUUGUACAGGGCUCAGAGCCACCUUGACCUUUGAUAGAUCACAAAAAACAUUUCAUUGUCCGACAUUAGCCAUAAGGUUUCUAAGAAUAUAGGAAGGAUGCAGAGGUUUAUCUAGCUCGGUAUCAGCUCAUCAAAGUUAAUCCCACCCCUCCAGAUUUACCAAUCUAGACGGGGAAAAAACAAUUUUUCUCACAUGCGAAUGGGUAAAUCUGGGAAAACACUUUCCCCCCGCCCAGAUGGGUAAAUCCGGACCAGAACGGUUUAUAAGAAUCACAGAGAGUGGGAAAAGAAACUGUCGUUUUCUAUUAUGUUUAUGCUAGGAAAUAUGGAGUUGAGACUAAGAACUAGAAACUCAACAAAGUAUCGUUCACCUCCUUUGCAAAUAGAUUGUCAUUUGGGAUUUUUAAAUGCAUAUGUGGAGUCAAGCACUAAAAUUGAGAUCAGAGUUUUAUGCACUAUUAAUUGAUUUGUUCUUAACCAGUAUCAUUUUAGGUAUGCUAAAGUUGAAAUAACCAUUAUAUAAUGUAGACAUUAUUCUCUGAGUAAACCUGAAUUUGACAACCAUUCUUGUAUCAUUUCGAUUCUUUUUUUGCUCUUCCAAAAGUUACCAUUUCUCUUUGGGUGCAAGUGAGUUGAAGUAAAGCAUAGAAUUUGCUUUACAUGUUUUUGACACUAAAAUUUAAGUUCUGUUUUGAGUCCAGAUUUCAGUUGAUUUGAAGCUCAUCAUAUCAUCUGGCAAAGAAAUGAAGGUAUAAAUAAAGAAACCAUGGACAGCAACGAUAUUUAGUCAUUCUCUAAAUGAAAAAUAAAUGAAAGUGAGUGUGUGUGUGUGUAUAAUUUACAAUUUUUCUAUACCAGCACAUAUGUGUUGUAAAUUCACAGCCAAAGUUACAAUACUUGUACCCGGUGUACACAUUGUAUAUUUCUUAUUCAGUUUCUAUCCAUGAAAUUAUGUUUAACAAAUAACAAUAUUCCAUGCAAUGCAAUCAAUUUCUUCACCUGAAACAAUGACUUUGAUAACAAGACUACCACAUGCAAUUACAUUAUCCUCAAAUAUAUAUUUAUGUAUCCAGUUUCUAUCCAUGAAGUUUAUAUUUACAAAAUUUCAUACAAUGCAACCAAUUGCUUCAAACCGUCUCCCUAUAGUUAUCCUCAAAUCCUGUAUCUAGUUUCUAUCCAUGAAAUUCUGUUAACAAGAUUCCGUUCAAUGCAGCCAAUUUUUCACCUAUAGUGAUGGCUUUGAUAAAAGCUACUUGAAUAACUUAUUCAUUUUGAGUUUACAAUAGGAGUCGAUAGUUACAUGCUGAUAAGGAUGGACCUAAACAAAUUACAAUCAUCAGAAGAAAACUGCUUACAUAGUAAUGGUAACAUGAACAGUACUGCACAGUUACGUGCUCUUCCGAAGAACUAAAUUCAAAAGGAAGCUGAGAGCCGAAUCAACAGAUGCUAAAGCAACAAGAAGAAAUGCAACAAUAACAAGAGUGAGUGUUGCAGUCCUCAGCUGCCAAGGAUUGAUCAAGACAUAUAAGUAACCAUUCAACACAUUGUUAUUAUAAAUUCAACACAUCAUGAUUUGUAACUAAAAAUAACAAUAAACUAAUGAGACAUACCGUAUUACUAAAGCUUGGCCACUCUAUGUAAUUCAGCUGGCUAGGUUGCUCAAUCAAAAAUGCAAAUAAAGAUUUUAAACCCCUGAAAAGAAACAUCAGAUUGAUGUUUGUAAAUAUGAUUGAUUUUUUCUGUAAAUGCAAUAAAAGCAAUGGAGAGAUUUACUGAUUUGGGCAAAUUCCUCGGUGGUUUAUCAUAGAGCGGUACUUAAAAACCACUCAGAACACUAAUGACAAUCGAAGAUACCUCUCAAUAGGAGAAACUCGAGGUUUUCCUUGUUCUUGCAACUAAGACGGUAACUUGACCAGUGUCGGUUCAACAAAAACAAAGGUAAACCAAUAUGCAUGUCUCAAAAUUAAACUCAUGUUUCUCCUUGUUUUAUUGAGGAGGUUCUCCUCUCCCUCACAACUGAGAGGGUAACUUGACCCUGGUAAGGUCACCGUCUCUGUUGUAUGUAUGAGGAAGACUGUCUGCUUCUACUUUCUAGAGGAAUCAUCGAUCGUCGUUACUGUUUUGGGACCGAGUGAUUUGUAAUUUUUUCAUGAUAUUCAAUAAAUAAGGAACAAGUGAGUGAUUAACUAAACUAUUGCAUUUUGAGGACAAACUGAAGUUUCACAAAUACCAGAAGGAUUCUUUGAUCAAUGCUAGCAAAAAGGGCUCCUCAGGCGAAUCAUCAUAGCUUAUAUUAUAAUGGUCAUUUCUUGAAGCAGACGUCAAAAAUUUGGUGCUAAUAUGGUUUGAAUAUUUUUGUUUUAUCUUCGUUCUACAAAUCUGCCAAUACAAAGUAUGCAGUCUCCAAUGAUAAAUAACCACUAGAAACACAUACACAGACCCAUAAAGUGAAGGAGGGACAGAUACAGAGAGAUGAGGAAAUAAUUACCGUUUGUGGUGUAAGAGAACCAUCUCUGUGAUAACCAACUGUCGCUGAAAACUUCGAUUGCAGAAGAGGAGUACCUUGAUGAAGGAAUCCUACAAAAUAUCAAGAAAAUUGAAGUUAAACAGGAAGCGAAAUUAGCAUUCAUGUGCAGAACAAACCAUUAUUUAGUUAGAAAGGAAAAAAAAAAAAACCUGAAUAGUUUGUUGGCAACAGAGAAAGAAUAGUCAUUUGAGAUUCAAAUUUUUGCUAGUCGAUCAUAGCCAAUCCAAACCUACAAAAGUUUUAUAUAUGUCCAUCAGCAAUUUGUUUCAAAAUGAAAAACCUUUUCUCUUCAUGCUUCUUGUGAUACUCAAGAACAUUGACAUGUAUGGUUUUAAAUUGUGGUUCUGGUUACACCAUGGAACUAUAUAUUUCGGUAAAAUGCAAGCAAAUACUGCUGAUGCGGCUGCAACUGUUAUUGCGGAGACGUCUAAAUUGUUAUAUUGUGGCAGCAACUACAGUUACAGACUGCAAUUUAGAACUACAUUUUGAUAGAAAAGAAGAAAGGGUAAUUUAUAAAGACACACUUUCAUCAACGCAGCGAGGCGGACAAAACCGUGAAGGCUUAAAUAAGACACAAAGCGGACAAUACUUCAUAAAAACAGUGCAUCGGACUUGAGGUCGAAACAAAUUCUAUUUGAUAAUGCAAGAAACAUUAGCAGAAGAGGGUUAUAGAAAGUUUGUUAUUAUCAGCCAAAAUAAAACAAAGAAUAUGCACAUUGAGGAACAUGACACCCACUAUCAAUCAAUCCAUGAAUCAUAGAAGCAUGCAUUGAGUAAUCAUUUUAUGUAACUAAAUUGAUAAUCGAUUACUAGCUCCACAGUUUAUAAUCAAGCCAGCGUUUGAAGGCUAUUAAUAAAAAAUAAAAUAAAAAACUUGACUUGGUUAUCAAAACGUUUUUAUAUAUACAUCAUCAGCAUCAAUUAGUUUCAAAAUGAAUAACUUUUGUCUUUAUGCUUGUUAUUACACUCAAAGAACAUUGACAUUUGACAGAAAAUUAGCCAUUGAUGCAAAAUAUAAACGUAUCAGAAAAGAAGAAAAUAAAACACGGCUUUAAUGAGUUGAACUUGUAUCUAUUAAUAGCUCAUGAGAUUGAUUGUCAUCAAUCAAAGUACACGCACCUUAAAUAUAUUGCAAUGAAACUUAUCAAUUUACCAUUGAUUAACCGGUGUAUCAAAAAAAUCUCAAUUUGUUUUUUUUCUUUAACAAGCCAAAAUGAAUUAUAUUAACAAACAAAAAAAAAAAUUCUCAAAUUGUUUGAGAAUCAAGGUUAAGGAUAGCUUAUAAACACACACUCUCCUCAACUCACCAAGGCAGACAAAAUCUAUGUAGCACCGACACAUUAGAUUGAAGGUUUGUCCAAUGUCUCACACGUGGGUGUUACCAACACAUGUGGUUACAUUCAAUCAUUCCGUUUCUCAAAUUAUUACGAGUGUCAACUAUUCAAUGUCAGUGUCGUGUAUGUGCUUCACAUGACAAAACCAUGAAGACUUACACAAAUCACAAAACAGACAAUAACUGAAAAAAAACGAUGCAGCGGACUAAGGUAAGAACAAAUUCUACUAGAUAAUGCAAAAAAACAUGAGAAGAAGAGGCUUCUAGAAUGUCUGUUAUCAGCUAAAAAAAAUUAAAAACAAUUAAAUUGCAGAUUGAGCAACAUUAUAACAAGUAUCAAAACAUUAAACUAGAAUUUACUUAAAGGCAUUAAACUAAAGCUUAUUCCAAACAAAUACACUAAAACAAUUCUACUCGAAAACAACCAAACAUGUCAAAAUCAAUUCUACGCCUCCAAAAUCAAUUCCGGUCCGGCCACUCUAGAAGUAAAACAUUAAACUAGAAUUUACUUAAAAGCAUUAAACUAAAGCUUAUUCCAAACAAAUUACUCCUCAAAUACACUAAAACAUUAUAAAUCAAAGAUUUAUAAGAACUAUCAAUGAUUAUUAUAAAAAUGGUUAACAUAAGGAAAAUAACAAGAAGAGGAGAUAAAUUACCUGAAAACUGAGCAGGGACGGUGGUGAGCGGUGGUCGGGAACAGAGCAACGCUGUCGACGGAGAGAGAUGAUUAGAUGAAGAUGGAGCAGAGAGGAGAGAGCGAUGAAUGGGUUCCUCCUUUGUUGUGUGAUUGAUUAUUGGGCUGGGCCUGUAAAAGUAACAAUUUUGUUAAGAAUUGUUAUAUGUGCCGCAUAAAUUGCUUAACUUGUGAAAUAAGCCGGUUUAGAAGAUGCGUUCUGAUCCAAAAAAUGUUUAUCGGAUCGUAACUCAUGAUAGGUUUUAUACGAUUGAGAGUUAUGAUCCGAUAAAUUCAAGGGAAUUUUGAGAAAUCCACAAGGUGUAUAGAUCAUUUAUUUUUCUACUUGUUAUAGUUUUGGUUCCUCUAUUUUAAGUUAUUCAUGUAAUUAACCCUAUGUUUUAAAACCACUCAGAUUGUUCCUGUGAGUUUAGCUUAGUCGAUUCAUGGAUCGGAUACUGAGUUUUCGAAAAAAAAAUAGUUUAGUUGGUAUAGGCAUUGCAUAAUAUAUGCAUGAGUCGAGAUUUGAACCGAUCACCCCACUUAUCUACCUUAAAAAGGAUAAUUUCUAACUAAUAUGCUACUUGACAAAAAAAAAAAAAAAACUCUGAUUUUCUUCUUCCAUCAUAUUUUUGUAUUUAAAAUGGUUAUUUGAUAUCUUUUAAGACGAAUAUACAACCUAAUGCUGUAGAGUGAUCAAUACUCAUGAAUUCAUAAAAUAAAAAAUAAAAAAUAAAUCAUUAAAAGUUUAAUUUCAACUACAAUGCAAACUAAUUUUAGCAUUUGAUACGGUACAAAGAGAGAGAAAAAAAAGGAUAUAUUAAUUUGAUAUUAAAAAAAAUGUUGCAAGUUGAAGAUCAAAUUUACAAUGGUGGCACAGUGGGAUAUUUUAUAUGUGUUUGAGAUGAUAUAAAAUUACAGCUUAAUUAAUCAUGAUACAUGUACUGAGGAAUCUAAGAUCAUUGUUAAGUAUCCACUAUGUAGGAGUCAACACAUAAGAUAGCACAUGGAUCUUGGGGAUGUCCUACUCGAAUCACAUAUAAUUUGUGGCAUGAGAGGUUAGAUUCACUAGAUUAUACUGUACAUGAUUAGAAACUAUGUGAUUUUAUUAGCAAUAUACUACAAAUCUCAAUCAAUUCAAAUGAUUUUAUGUGUGGGUACAAGAAUCCAAAUAUAUAUUUUACACCAUAACUUUCUUAUAAGAGAAAUUGAAUGAGUCAUGAAUAUAUUAUAUGAUUUUUCUAAUAUCUCCUUAUGCAUAUGUGAAAGAUCGAACUUUACAUUAAAUGGUUAAGCCGGUGUUUGGUUCACGGUGGUGUGAACGCAACCGUGUGUUUAGUGUGAAGCUUAAAUAUAUAACUUAUUAAAAUUGUGGUGAAAUCAGCAUAAGGAUAUGGAUUUCAUUUGAUAAAGUAUUUGUUUUUAGUGUCGAGGGAGCCCCUUUUGUAAUUGUAAACUAACCCAAGUUGGAUAUGGAUUUCAUUUGAUAAAAUAUUUGUUUUUUAUUAAAAAAUGAUAGUGAUAUAGUUGCAAGAAACCUAAAGAUCUCAACAUAAUCUUCUUAUAUAUUAAAGUUAACACAGAAGCAUAUUUUAGUCCUAAUUUUAACCUAAACCUAUUGCAUAAAUUUACUAUUUUAACCUGAUGCUAAAUUCCUUUGUUUAACCUUAUUGAAUUUUCCCCUUCUCAAUUUCUCGAUACAUCUUCUUAUAUAUUAAAGUUAACACAGAAGCAUAUUUUAGCCCUAAUUUUAACCUAAACCUAUUGCAUAAAUUUACUAUUUUAACCCUGAUGCUAAAUUCCUUUGUUUAACCUUAUUGAAUUUUCCCCNNNNNNNNNNNNNNNNNNNNNNNNNNNNNNNNNNNNNNNNNNNNNNNNNNNNNNNNNNNNNNNNNNNNNNNNNNNNNNNNNNNNNNNNNNNNNNNNNNNNNNNNNNNNNNNNNNNNNNNNNNNNNNNNNNNNNNNNNNNNNNNNNNNNNNNNNNNNNNNNNNNNNNNNNNNNNNNNNNNNNNNNNNNNNNNNNNNNNNNNNNNNNNNNNNNNNNNNNNNNNNNNNNNNNNNNNNNNNNNNNNNNNNNNNNNNNNNNNNNNNNNNNNNNNNNNNNNNNNNNNNNNNNNNNNNNNNNNNNNNNNNNNNNNNNNNNNNNNNNNNNNNNNNNNNNNNNNNNNNNNNNNNNNNNNNNNNNNNNNNNNNNNNNNNNNNNNNNNNNNNNNNNNNNNNNNNNNNNNNNNNNNNNNNNNNNNNNNNNNNNNNNNNNNNNNNNNNNNNNNNNNNNNNNNNNNNNNNNNNNNNNNNNNNNNNNNNNNNNNNNNNNNNNNNNNNNNNNNNNNNNNNNNNNNNNNNNNNNNNNNNNNNNNNNNNNNNNNNNNNNNNNNNNNNNNNNNNNNNNNNNNNNNNNNNNNNNNNNNNNNNNNNNNNNNNNNNNNNNNNNNNNNNNNNNNNNNNNNNNNNNNNNNNNNNNNNNNNNNNNNNNNNNNNNNNNNNNNNNNNNNNNNNNNCUAUUUUUAGGUACAUAAUAUAACAUUAACAUAUAAUUUUUACAAAAUAAUGAAGUAACAUUUUGUCAAAAAAAAAAGAAGAUGAAGUAACAUACCAAUAAUAUAACAUUGACAUAUAAUUUUAACAAAAGAAUGAAGUAAGACACGAUUGAUAAAAAUUAAUAUUUUUAAGGUGAAUAAGUGUGGUGUCUGAGGUUCGAAUUCCAACAUCUGCAUAUAUUUAAGACCACAUGUUUUAUUCUCUUUGAUAUGCAUUGAGAUUUGUUUUUGUCUACUGCAUCUACAAUGUAUAUGACCCGUGCGGCCGCACGAGUGGAAAGUCUAGUAUCAAAAAAGAUUGAUGUGGCUUGCUAAAAUAUAAAAUUCUGAAGGGUACCCUAACUGGUACAUGGGUUCAAUGAUGCAUCAGUUGUUCCUUAUUAUUAUACGUGCUGUCAGAUAUUAUUAAAUUGCUCUGACCUGUUAUGUUAAGCUAGCAAUAUUAUUUUAUUAUCCUUUUAAUACUAUUAUAAUAUAAUUGUAUGUAUCAUACAUGUUACCUCUGUCUUUUGAUGAUUUAUACACUAAGUUAUGAAUAAGACACAACAACGUGUUAAGUUUAUAGGAUCAAUACUUGAUUUUUAUAGAAUAAGUUUGAGAGAGUCGGAUAAGGGAGGGUCAACAAGUUCAGAGUAAACCUCAAAAUUUAUAUAGAAUUUAAUCAACGAGAUUUUAACGUGGACAGACGAAGUUGAAUUCACACUGCAAGAUAUGAGCCAACUCCUUACCAACCAACCUACAUUGAUAAUCAGUAUUGUCUUAAACAAUUUGAAAACCCUAAUCUUAAAAAAAAAAAACCAUUUUUUAUUUAAAUUGUAAGUAACAUAAGAAAGAAUCACGUUCUGGUCAAUAACAUCAAAAUAUAACUUCAUGUUAAUAUCGAUUUUCUAGCUAUUUAAAAAAGUCAUUUUUAAGCAAAUUCAUCAAUAUUAGAGAACAAGAAAAACUAAGCAACUAAAUAUUCUGCAAUUAAAACUUCUAAGCCCAUUGAGUUUUUCAAGUUCAACUCCCCUGAUUCAUUAAUUAAAUAAAAUUAGCAACUGGAGUAAACACUUACAACUUCUAAUUUAAUCCAUAAAUUUGUCCUGAUAAUGAAAGAGCGCUCAAUACAAUCAAAAUUUAUGGAAUUUACAACAUCUAAUUUGCAUCCUCAAAAGCAAAAUAGCUUGGAAUCUUGAGAAAUUCAAAAGGCCUUGGUUGAUUUCUCGAUACACCAAAAGAGAGAAACUGUAGCACGGCUUCAGAGGAAUAGCAUGCAUAUUGGGUUGGUUCACUGGCUUUGGGGCUGAAGUCCUGCUUCGGUGUCCGUGCCACUAUAUUCUUCAGCUUUCAGAUUCGGUUCGUUGUUUGGUAUCCAAAAUGUGAGAACAGUCGAGGCUGCAGCAAACAUGGCUCGACGAGGAGCCCAUUUCAAGCACGAAGGCACACCAAUAUGGCUGCUCCAACAUGCUACUUCGUGAUUCCUGUCAAUACUCCAAGCGUGCAUGGUCCCGCCUCCAGAGCCUGCUACGACAUACUUCCCAUCUGGGGUAAAUGUAGCCUCUAUCGAGGUACCAUGAGAUGGUUCCAAACUAAAUCCGCAGCGUUUAUCUCCUCCAUAUGCAUCAAGAACAUAUAUGUUGUUAUUAGUUGUAGACAGAAGCAUUGAUUUGCCAUCAUUGCUGAAUUUAAUAUCACAAACCUCGGCAGUAUCACCACCAACAAGAAAAGUGUCGAAGGGACCCUUGUCAUACGAACGUGAAUCAAACAACUUAAUAGCCCCGCCUUCCAUUGCAACGGCGAAGACCAGACCUUGUUGGUCAUAAGCAACAGUAGGUCUACCGCGUACAUGUAAGAUUCCCUGGCAUGCAUUUACACGUAGAUCCCAUAACCUUACACUGUGGUCGACAGAACCAGACAUGAAGCUAUCAUUGAUAGGAGACAUGCAGAGAGAAACAACUCUCUGUUUAUGCCCUUUGAAGUAUCGUAGGCAGCGGUUAUCAUACAUUGAUAAAUAUCGCAACGAUUCUCCGGUAGACUCCAAAUUGUACCUUGAAGAGCAUAUGACAGAACUAGGGUGAUGAGUAAAGCAUAUUUGAUCAGUACCAUGUUUCUUAUGAUAAGUGGUCUUCAACAGCUUAGCAUUAACAAUGUCAUAGAGUCGCACUGAGUCAUCCUCACCAGCUGUGACCAAUAAAUCAUCCUUACGAUGGAAAUCAAUCGAAUAUAUCUUCCCAACGUAGUCGGAGAAAACGGCUCCUAUGGACAUGGUGCGGACAAUGUCGUCAUCAAGCUCUGUAAGUGAGGCCGUCAUCCUCCCUAGGAUCGGCCCAAUCAAAUCGAAGGUCUGUUCAAAUAGUAAAAAUGAACCCCUAAUUAAAAAAUAGUACAAUUUUUUUAAAAAGAGUCAUCCAAUAUUUAAACUGUAAAUAAACAUCAAUAACAUAAAAAAAUAGUCAUCCUUGUAACUAACGUAAAAAAUAGUCAUAUUCUAAUCAGUAACAUCAAAAUACAACUUCAAGCUCUAUUAAAAAAAACAUAGUUAACCAUUUUUUAUAAUAAUCAUUCACAAUUCUUGUAAAUCUUUGAUUUAUAAUGUUUGAGUGUAUUUGAAGAGCAAUUUGUUAGGAGUCAAGCUUUAGUCCAAUGCUUUUAAGUAGAUUUUAGUUUCAUGUUUCAGUGUACAUGUGUGUGCUGCAAAUGAUAAUAUCCAGCACUACAGCUGGGUGGUAUAUGCUUAAUGGCUAAUGAAUGUCAUAACCUAGGUUUGAUCCCCAUUUUCCUUCUUUUUAUGACUUCGGGAAUCGAACACGGGAAUGCACGCAUGCUAACAAAGUACAUUCUUCCAUUGAACCAUCGCGACAAACAUGAAAAUUUAUGAGCAUUAAAAAUAUAUAACUUAUAACUAUAAUUUUGAAUCCUAUAAUUUUUUGAGGCCUUGAGCCACGGACCUGGUUGCAGAUGGUCAGGGUCGGCCCUGAUCCUCCCGACCCUGCCACAACAGGCAAAAUCCCUCCACUUCUCACUACACUGAAACAUUAAACUAAAAUCUACCUAGCUUCAAGUAGAAUUGAUUAUGGAGACAAAAUGAAUUCUACUCGAAAACAAUCAAACAUGUCAGAAACAAUUCUACACCUCCAAAAUCAAUUCCGGUCAGGCAGUUCUAGACGUAAAAUAUUAAACUAGAAUUUACUUAAAAACAUUAAACUAAAAUCUACCUAGCAUCACGUAGAAUUAAUUCUGGAGGCAAAAUCAAUUCUACUAGAAAGCAACCAAACAUGUGAAUCAAUACUACGCCUCCAAAAUCAAUUCCGGUCCGGCCACUCUAGAAGUAAAACAUUAAACUAGAAUUUACUUAAAAGCAUUAAACUAAAGCUUAUUCCAAACAAAUUACUCCUCAAAUACACUAAAACAUUAUAAAUCAAAGAUUUACAAGAACUAUCAAUGAUUAUUAUAAAAAAAGGGUUAACAUAAGGAAAAUAACAAGAAGAGAAGAGAAAUUACCUGAAACUGAACAGUGACGGUGGUGAGUGGUGGUCGGGAACAGAGCAACGCCGUCGACGGAGAGAGAUGAUUAGAUGAAGAUGGAGCAGAGAGGAGAGAGCGAUGAAUGGGAUUCCUUUGUUGUGUGAUUGAUUAUUGGGCUGGGCCUGAAAAUUAACAAUUUUUAAUAUAGAAUUAUUAUAUGUGCCCCAUAAAUUGCUUAAUUCGUAAAAUAAGCCGAUUUAAAAGUUGCGUUCUGAUUAAAAAAUGUUCAUCGGAUCGUAACUUAUGAUAGAUUUUAUACAAUUGAGAAUUACGUUCUGAUAAAUUUCAACGGACUUUUGAAAAAUCCACGAGGUGCAUUGAUUUUUUUUUUUUCUACUUGUUUUUUUUUCUUCUUUAUUUUGGUUAGGCUAGACAUGUAUAUUAUAUUAUACAUAAUUAAAAAAAAAUUUGAUUAUAGUUUUGAUCCCUCUAUUUUAACUUAUUCAUGUAAUUAACCCUCUAUUUUAAAACCACUGAGAUUUUUUCCUUCCAUCAUAUUUUUGUAUUUUUUUUUUAAGAAGAUCAAAUGAAAUAUAUUAAUCAAACAUCAUUAUUUUCCGGCACAAGAAACAUACAACUUGAUGAUAUGGAGUGAUUAGUAUACAUGUAGUUAUUAAAAAGUUUAAUUUUAACUACAAGAGUUAUAAUAUAAACACAAAGUAUGGAGAAAAAAUUGAUAGCAAGAUUAAGCCAAAGCAUUUUUUGAAAGAUAAAGGCCCAAAGAUUAUUGAAUCAUUUUUUUUCUCCAUAUUUUCUAUUCAAACUAAUUUAUCAUUUGAUACAAUACAUAGGGGAAAAAAGAUAUAUUAAUUUGAUAUUAAAACAAAGGUUACAAGUUGAAGAUCAAAAUUACAAUGGUGGCACGAUGGGAUAUAAAAUUACACCUUAAUUAAUCAAGAUACAUGUACUAAGGAAUCUAAGAUCACUGCACUGUUAAGUAAGUAUCCAUUAUCCGGGGUCAACACAUAAGAUAGCACAUGGAUCUUUGGGAUGUCCUACUCGAAUCACAUAUAAAUAUAAUUCACUAGAUUAUACUGUACAUGAUUAGAAACUAUGUGAUUUUAUUAGCAAUAUACUACUAAGUCUCAAUCAAUUCAAAUGAUUUUAUGUGUGGGUACAAGAAUCCAAAUAUAUAUUUUACACCAUAACUUUCUUAUAAGAGAAAUUGAAUGAGUCGUGAAUAUAUUAUACUCCCUCCGUCCCAAAUUGUAUGACGUUUUAGACAUUUCACAUAUAUUAAAAAAUGUAAUAUAUUUUGUGUGGAAAAGAGAUAUUAUGAGUUGUUUUACAAAAUUGUCCUUAAUAAAUGAUAUGGGAAAGAUAAAUGAAAGAAUUGAAAGAAGAGAAAGUAAUAAAUAGUUAAGGAUAUAAUAGGAAAAAUAACAUUAAUGUUUCAUUGGUAUUGUAAAGCAACAUAUAAUUUGGGACAAAAUUUUUCUCCAAAGCGACAUACAAUUUGGGACGGAGGGAGUAUGAUUUUUCUAAUGUUUCCUUAUGCAUAUGUGAAAGAUCGAACUUUACACAAAAUGGUUAAGCCGGUGUUUGGUUCACGGUGGUGUGAACGCAACCGUGUGUUUAGUGUGAAGCUUAAAUAUAUAGCUUAUUAAAAUUGUGAUAAAAUCAACAUCGAAACGCAAGAUUGGUAAUUUGGACUGUAACCACUAGCCAAACAUGCUAUAAAAGGUGUAAGUAUUUAUUACUUGUGUUACAAUAUAUUAUUGCAAUAUAUUUUUUCUAUUUUCAUCACAUAAUAAAGUAGACAAUUUUAAUUAAUAGGAAAAAAACUAAUAUACAAUUAAUUAUAUACAAUAUUUUUUUAUUUGUCUGAUGGAUCCUUAAUCAAAAGCUAGAUACUAAUCAUUUGAAGUACGAAGAUCUAAAUAAAUGUUCUUCCAUACACAUCGAUCAUGAAUCAAAUACGUAAUCUCAUACUUAAGAGACUCAAGUCUCAUACUUAAGAGACUCAAGUAUACGUCAAUUGUGCUACACUCUAUUGGUAAUUGAAUACAAAAUGUUGCAGACAUUAUUGAUGUAGACAACCAAUAACCAGGGUAGCUCACCACAUGGGGUACCAAUGAAGGGAUUCUAACAUCACAUGACUUUGUCUCAACUCAAUCACAAGAAAAAUCUCAUAUUGAGAUAUACAUUAAGUGCCCAUAUCCCAUGUUUGUUUUGCUAUCCAAUUCUUGUGGGGUUUGAUCGCUGGAUGAAGGUGUGAUUUGAUACAUGCUAGGUUACAAAACAACCGAACCAAAUAACACUUUCAGCCCAUAAUUGUGUUUCUUUCUGAUCAUGUUGGUUUUCAGUUAGGAAAAUUCAAAUAAUUUCUAUUAAAAAAAAAGGGAAAAUUCAAAAAAUCAAAUUGUAAGUAGUGCCUAGAGUACUUUUUUCAAAUGAAUGUUUUGUUCUUAUUUGUGUCCUGAAUCAAAUUGACUUGUGUCAUGUCCCCAUGUAACAAUGAAAUCACCAAAAUCUUAAUUUGGAUAAGAAUAUCAUUAUUAUGCUAUGAUAUGAUAGAAAUUGAACUUAAGUUAGUAAAUCCAAGAAUUUUAAGUUGUGUGAGGGCAAAAAGUUUAACAUCUUUGAAAUUGUAAUCAUUAAAAAGUAGUCAUAUUAGCAUUUUCAAACUAAAAAAAUAAAUCCCUCAAAAAAAAAAAAACUAAAAAAAUAAAUAUCAAAAUUGAUGUUUUUUGGAAAUUUAAAGGAUAAAAAGCAUAAAAAAAAGGUUACAUGAACUAAAAUUAGAGUACUCUAUUUAUAUGACAAACAAACAACAUAUUUAAUCCUAAAAUUAAUUAGUGGGAGGCUAUUAGAAAGCUUUGAAGAAAAUUUAGGUACAGUAACAUGAAUACUUAUGGUGUUGUCUCCAAUCUAACAUGAGAUGUUGACUAUGUGCUCACAAUUAUUUAUUACCAUUUUUUAAAAGAAUGUCUACAUGUUAUGUUAUAAAUGGAUAAUAGCAGCAAUGGUCAUAGUACUGUAGUUAAGUUUCAUGUUGAACUUGUGUGGGUUGAAGUCAUAGAGGAUUUAGUGUUCUCUACUUAUGAUAGUCUAAGGUCCUACUUGGAUAAGUAAUUUAAUCAAGUGUUUGGAGCAUAAACACUUGUCAUGUGUGUUUAUGUAUGCGCUAAUUUCUAUAACAAAAAGUAAAAUGAAGUCAAAAUAAUUACACAUAUUAUAAAUUGUUUUUAUAAGAUAAAUUAUUAUGGAGGACUUAUGAAAAUAAACUUAAAUAUAGUUUCAUUACAAAGAAAAACUUAAAUUGAGAUGGGAUUUUCUGACGGAGGUAUUUCUAAGAUGGAAAGAUAAGUUAUUAUAGAGGACUUAAGAAAAUAAACUUAAACAUAGCUUCACUACAAAGAAAAACUUAAAUUAAGAUGAGAUUUUCUGACGGAGGUAUAUAUUAUUAGGAUGGAAUUUGCGACUAUAUUUUGUCACAAAUAUUUCUUUAAAAAUUUAUAUAUAUUUUUGGAACGGGAUUGAUAUUUCAUCUCCGGCCAUGACGUUUUGAAAUCUUGUGAUUUUAACCCAUAACUCUAUCCCGUUUGGGAAAACCUCAGUCUUGACUUAGUUCAUGAAUCUUAACAAUAUACACGAAAACAACUUCAAUAUAUAAUUGAUUUUUUUCACAUAAACCCUAAAAAAACCAUAAAUAUUGUCCAUAAUAAAUCUUAAUUUAUUUUUAACAUAUAUAUGCAAUUGAUAUAUUUUAAUUAUUUGUAUAAGUCUCUUAUUUUUUAUGUUAUUAUUUUGCAUUUAAAACGAGCCUUAUUACAAAAAUUUAUUCUAGACUACCAAAUCUGUUGGCUCGUCCCCGAUUAUCGUUGUAAGAAUAUAAUCAUAAAAUUUAAACCAAGUCCUAAAAUAUCAUGGUUAGUCAUUAUUACUAUUUUUAAAGAGGUUGGUCAUUAUUUUUUGUCGACAAAUAUUAUUAUUUUGGUGAAUUUUUGUUGACAAAUAUAACAUGGUUAGUUAUGACGCGUGCCUUAUAUUUGUUAUUUGAGAAAUGAUACCUUUACGAUCAAUUUUUUGACAAAUUUUAAAACAACCACUACUUCUCUUUAGUUUUGGAACAAAAGAUAAUAGAGAAAAAGAAGAAAAUAAUAAUAAGAUAAUGUGGGUAUAAAAGAUUUGUAUCAAAAUUUAUCACAUAGUUGUAUAAUUAUCAUUUCUUUUGUUAUUUAUAUGUAGACAUGUGUUAUGAACAUUUUUCUCUAACAUUUAUCCUUUCAUUAAGUGAAACUUAUGUGGUAUCAAGUGUUAAAAGCUAGAUAUAACAAGGAGGGUGGACGGUUGAAGAAGGGGGGAGGCACGACUCAAUGUGGUGGUAGGUGAUGUGUAACAUCUGAGGGGGUGUGGGGGUGGGGAAUUGGUUCAAAGACAAUACUUGUCGGGUAGUCGGAAAUGGCAGAAAUACUUUCUUUUGGAUGGAUAAUUGGGUUGGCGGUGUUCCUCUACGUACUAGAUUCCGCCGACUAAAUGAUUUAGUCGUGCAUCGAGAGUGUUCGGUGGCUGAUGUGGCAGAGUUAGGGUGGGAGGUAGGAGGGAGUGGAUGGGUGUGGAGGAGAGGUAUUUUGGUGUGGGAGGAGGAGAGUAUGAGGGAGUGUUCUGUUUUGUUACAUAACGUUGUUUUGCAGGAUAAUAUUUUCGAUUAUUGGAAGUGGUUGCUUGAACCCACUCAAGGUUAUUCAGUUCGCGGAACCUAUCAUUUUUUGACAGCAACUGACGACGUCUUGGAUGGGGGUCGCAUUUCCAACAUGUGGCAUAAAGUUGUUCCAUCAAAGAUAUUCGUUUUUACUUGGCGCUUGCUUCGCAAUAAAAUUCCUACCAAAACUAAUUUGUUGCAACGUGUGUGUGUGUGUGUGUGUGACAUAUUUGACAGUACAUGGUCUUUUUUGUGGUGUUACGUACUGCCAAAAUCACAUGUUAGGCAUCGAUUUUGUCCCUUCCGGCGUGUUGUUUGAACAUUUUGAGCAGGUUCUUUGGAUGGUGGGUAUGCCACGCUCUACUCAUUCAUUCUUCAGGUUGAUUUGGCUCGUUUGUGUUUGGGUAAUAUGGAAAGAAAGAAACGAUCACAUCUUUAAAAAUGUGGCUUCAGAUCCGUGUAUCCUUUCCGACAAAGUGAAGUUGAAUUCAUACUUGUGGUUGAAAUCAAAUCUAAUGUCUUUUAGUUUUUGUUAUCACGACUGGUGUCGGCACCCACUUCUUUGUAUGAAUGUUACCAUGUAAUUUAUCUUAUUUUGUUUUCUCGUCUUGUGCUUCUCAGCGAGGCACCAACCGUGACUUUGUAAAUUGUUCGCGUGUUUUUCUUCCAGCACGUCUUGUACGGAGUAAAUCAUAUUUGGUUUAAUAUUAUAUUUCAUUUUGACUUGUUAAAAAAAAAAUUCACAUAUAGUUACUAGACAUGCAUGAAUUUUAUUUAAUAAAAAAAUAUGGUUAGAGUGAAGGUCAGAAAGAGACUCUUGCUGACAAUUCUAUAAUAUAUGUAUCAUAUGACUAACCGACUAUGUGAAAGAGAAAGAAAAGCUCCAUUUGUCAACUGAAAGAAAAUAACUAUAAUUUCUUCUUAAAAUAUCUUAGCAAUUUUUUAUUUUGGUGCAAAAAUCUAAGAUAAUUUUAUUCGGUGUAGUUUUAAUAGUUGUUAGUAUGAACUUUAAGAUAAUGAUAAUUAGUUCGAGAGUCUCUUUCUGUUAUGCUAUUUCUUUACCUCCUUCUGGUUGUCAUUGUCAUUACAGUGUAUACAAAUAUAUAAUAGACCUUUGUUUAAUGAAUAAAUCCGAGUUUCAUUUUCUUAACACUUACAAUACUUCACAAACAUUAACCUUCUAAGAAAAUAAAUGUAUUGUUGCAAAAGAAUAUAGGUAUGUGAGUUGUGUACCAAACAAAAAAAAAAAGUGGGUUGCGAAUGAAUUGGUCCGAUUGUGUUAUCUUGAAACCUUAAAGUGAGUUUCUCUUAAAGGUUUAGGUUUAAAUUCUUCAUGUGCCAAUUUUUGUGAGUUGCUCUAUAAUCUAUAUUAUGACUUCAAAUGAAAUUUUUCGAAGAACUCACUUGAAUUGGUUUAGUGGUAUUAAUUUAAUGUUCGAUUCUCUUCAAUGUCAAUCUAGAUGAGCUAAUUUAACUUCUUAAAAAUAAAAAAUAAAAAUUCUGCAAAUGAACGGUUAGAUUGAUAUCCCAAAGGGUUAGUAGGCCUUUACCUCCUGCAAUAUAAGUCAUUUUUGGUUUUCCCCCUGUAAAUUUUUUUGUCAGAUUCCGUCCUUGUAAAAUUUUUGUUUUGAGAAACCCUCUAAGCCAACUGACUAUGCAUUUUCGCUGAUGUGGCACGCCGACUGUAUAAUUUUAUUAUUUUAUUGUGUACACGUGGCAUUUAUAAUUUUUUUUCAAAAAAAAUUUAAAAAAUUGAUAAAAAUGCUGAUAUUUAUAUCAAUCAACGUAAAAUUAAAGUCAUUUUUUUAUACCAACAAUUUUUUUAAGGAAAAUAACUUAUAUCAUUUCAUUAAAAAUUAAAUCAAUGAUACAUAAAAGUUAGAAAAUAAUAUGGUUGUCUUAAUUAACAUAUGAGCAACCUCAUGCCUCCUAAUAAACUUAACAUGAGAGUAAAUACUCACAAAUGACAAAAAAUAUGAUUUUAAUCGUAAAUAAAUAGAGAAAACUAAUAAGAAACAAAUAAGAAUGACACAAUACAUAAGCGUAGGUUAACAAACACUAAACUUAAAUUAAAAAAAAAACAAGUUUGGAAACGACAAAAUAUAUAUGCAUAGAAUAAUAACAAAAAAACUUCAUAGAUAGAAUAAUAACAAACGUGUUACUUUCUUACUUACUACUUGAUUUUAGAGAGAUACUUUCUCACUACUUGUUCCCACCUUAAUUUCUAACCAAUUGACAUAACAUUAUCUUUGUAAAUUUGAACACCGCGUUACAACCUAAUCCCACCGACACAUCCAAUGAUACCAAACCAUAGCCAGAAGACAUCAAGUGGGACUACACUACACUAUGCAUUAUGAAUAUUGUUUCAUAAAAAAGGUAUAGCAGUAGAAUAAAAUAAUAUCUUAUGAUGAUUUUGAUUAAAAAUGUUAAAAAAUACAACUAUGGAAUAUGCUAUGUUCCUUCGUGAUGCAUGAGAUCCACAACUAUAUAUAAUAACCAUCACGUUGGUGCAUAAUAAUCAUAGCUUUUGCAUUUGAGAGAUCCACCAUAUUUGGCUAUGUUGUCCACUGUCCAACUUGGCAUGAAAAGCCUAAACAAAGUCAAUGGUUAUUUUGACUAUGGAAAAAAUUAAUUAACAUCAAAACAUUUCUACACCUAAAACAAAUAAAAACUUGAUUUAGAUUGGACUUCUAUAAAAUUUUGGUUUGAAUUCUUAUAUAAACUUGUAUUAAUUUUUUUGACUUAAUGCUGUUUUUUUCAGCUACCUUUAAACACGGCUUUAAUGAAGGCACUAAUUUUAGAUUCAAUUUGUCAUGUAAUGUCUACUAUGAGACAUUGUUGCUUGACUUUUCUUGUUACAUUUAUUAAUAUCAUAUGUAUAAAUAUGCUUCUAUUUUUUUUUGUCAGUUCUAUUCUUUGUUUUUUGUAUGUAGAUAAAGUGAUAAACAUAACCAGACACAUAAAUUGUUUUUUUACUCACCCAAAACAAAAUUUCUUGUUUUUACUUUGAUCUCUCGCUUCUUUUACCAAAAAAACAAACAACAUAAGGGAUUCACCUAAUCUCCCAGGUAUGACAUUGGUAAAAAAAUAAAAAAUAAAAGUUUUUCACCACCUUCAAAUGGAAAGUGACUCAAUAACUUUGGUUGACAGGAUCAAAGGAAACGUCAAAGUUAAUGGCAAGUCACACCCACUUUGGUGUGUCGUAUUCAAGAGCUUUUAAAGUUAAACCGAUAGGUGCAAUUCAACCAUACUUAACGGAAGAAAAAUAGAAUUGUUGAUUGACUAGAUAAUUUCAACUUCUCUUUAAAUUCUUUCGACAUUCAUGUGAUGAAGACUCCUCAUAAUGAUGUUUCGAGCUCUUUUUUUUUUUAUGAUAUUUUCGAGGAUUACAUAUAUAGAGAUAUUCAUGUAAUUAUGUAGUUUUUUUUUCGCUUAGGGCUUUAGCCCUCUUUUACCACUAAAAAAAAAUCGGAUGGUCUUUUAAGAUUAGAAAUUAAGAUGGUUAACAACCAAUUUUUUUUGUACGCAAGACAUAGUUUAACCAGCAAUAUCGACAUUACUACAUUGAAUAUCUUCACUCGAGUUUGAAUCCGAAAUUUGCAUCUACGUGUGUGAAUUUGAGACAGUUUUUGCUACUUUGAAAAUAAAAGGCUUAAUUGCAUUUUUGGUCCCCUAAGUUUCAAGAAGUUGUGAUUUUGGACCCCUAACUAAUUAAAAUACAAAACAGCCCCCUAUGUAUUGGAUCUUUGGCAGUUUUGGCCCCCUAGACCAAUUUUGACUCAGUCAACGCUGACGUGGCACUUCAAAGGCGCCACGUGUGCAUUGUUUUAAUUGAAAAUAAAUAAAAAAAGUCACAUAAAUUAAAGAAUUAAAUAAAUGUAAAAAAAACAACAAAUAAUUAAAAAAAAUAAAAAAGAAAGAAAAAAAGAAAGGAAAUGUUCUAUUGAACGAAACGAAAGUUUCGUUAAAAGGAGCAUAUCACAUGCACUUUGACAUAUAUAGAGGACACAAAACAAUGCAACUAUAUUAGUUGCAUGUUGCUUAUACAUAACUUGAAUAAAAAUUACACCUUCAUUGUUCCCUAACAAUACAAUAGCCUGAUAUAUUUAUUAUAUAAAUUAUUUUUUUCAUCCCUUACUCUGUCAUUUUCUAUAUGUAUAUUUAUUAUAAACUGCUCAAUUAUUUGUUAAUUUGCAGUUAUAAAUGCAAUAUUAUCAAUGUCAACAUGAAUAAUGCAAGAAUAUCUGAAUAAUCUUCAAUAGUAUGAAUAUUUAUUUUUGAAUCAAUUUUUGAUUCAGUUAAAAAGUGUUUUAAAACUCUUCAUCUGAGACACAAUAACUCAUACAUGUUACCUUGAAUGCAUGAAUAAGAACUCCCUGUAUUACCAAUUUGAUGAUCUCCCAAAAAAAUCAGAACAAUCACAUACUGUCUACAUUAUUAAAAGUAUAAUGAUAGUUUCUAUUUAUAUUUCCUCAUCAACUUUGUUCCUGAAUGCUACAACUAGUUUACCUGUGUUUGAAAAAUUAAAAUGUCACUUUACUUCCUCGUGUUUCUGGUUACAAUUCGAAUACGAGAGAGAUUCAAUUGGAGCAAAUCCAUGGUGGUGAUGAAGCAGUGGCAGAAAGCUUCAAGAUUUUGGAACAAAGGGUUUUGGAGAGAGAGAAUCACUGUUUUAGAGAGAGAUGAGAGGAAGAAGAGAGAGAAUCAGAUUUUGGAACACGAUUUCCUUACUUUUUUUUUUUAAUUAUUUGUUGUUUUUUUCAUUUAUUUAAUUCUUAAAUUUAUGUGGUUUUAUUUUUAUUUUUAAUUAAAACAAUGCCCACGCGGCGGCUUUGACGUGCCACGUCAGCGUUGACCGAGUCAAAAUUGGUCUAGGGGACCAAAACUGACAAAGAUCCAAUACAUAGGGGGCUGUUUUGUAUUUUAAUUAGUUAGGGGGCCAAAACUGCCAAAGAUCCAAUACAUAAGGGGCUGUUUUGUAUUUUAAUUAGUUAGGGGGCCAAAAGUACCAAAGAUCCAAUACAUAAGGGGCUGUUUUAUAUUUUAAUUAAUUAGGGGGCCAAAAUCGCAACUUCUUGAAACAUAAGGGGCCAAAAGUGCAAUUAAGUCAAAAUAAAAUGAAAUCUUUAUUUUUUUUGGUAAAUAUUUUUUUCUAGCAAUUUUUCUUCUUCUAGUAAUUCGUCUUUUUAAGGGGAAUAUGUAGAUUUUUCUAGUCAUUAUUAUAAACAAAUUUUUUUGGGUAGAUAGACGAAAUAACAAAGUCAUUAUAAACUUACACACACAAGUGGAGGUAGCAGAGUUCGAACCACGGUCAUGACAUUUGACCUAACAAUUUCGACAUUUUUACCAGUUGAGCUAGGACUUCUGGAUAUUAUAAACAAAUUUAUUGGAACUAUAUUAUAAAUCAGAAUCGGAUAUACAUCAAAAUUAUUCAAUAAAUUUAAAAACAUGUCAAAAAAAUAAAUUAAAAACAUAAUAUUUAUUUAUAAUAAUGACGAAAAAGGGCUUUGACCUUCUUUGUUCACCAAAAAAAUAAAAUGACCGAAAGAAAUAAAUUAGGCAAUCUUUUUAUCAUUGGAAAAAUAUUAAAUCUCCUUUAAAACAACGUCUUUAAAUUUAUUUCAGAAAAAAAAAACGUCUUUAAAUGAAAAAUCUCCCAAUUCCUCAAAUUACUUACAUUGCAUUAACAAUUUCCCUUUAAAUUUGAUUAAUGACAAAUCAAUCAAUUAAAUAAAUACCCUUUAAACAAAAUCAAUUAAAUAAAUGCAAACUACAAUACAAUGAAUGCACCGAGCGUAUUCAUUGAAUUGAAUGUCAAGGCGAGAUUAUGGCAAUAGUUAAUAAACUAUCCUUUUUUUAAUCAUGAUUAUAUAAUAAUCUUUCUAUGUAAAGAAUCAAAUAAAUUUAUCAUUAUUAUAAUCAAGCAAUUCAACCUCAAUUCAUUAACGAGAUUCAUCAAUCACGUUGAAAAAACUUAUUUUAUUUUUUGAGUACAAUAAUUCUUAAUCAAACUAUAUUUAUCUCGCGGCGAACCAGUUUUAACUGAACUCUUUUCUUAAGGUUAAAACAAAUUAUAAUUAUAACUAUGCAGAAACGUCUGAAUUGUGUGUGGCAGCAGAAGAAAAAGGAAAUUUCUGUGGUGAUUCAUUUUCAAAUCUCUAGCUAAGCAUAAAAUAAGAACUUUCCCUUAUGACAAUGAUGAUCUGCAUUUUAGCUGUAUCUUAUUGUCACCUUUAGAAAGAAAGAGAAAAAAAAGAAAAACUUUAAUAUAAUGUGCUGUUUUUCAUUUUUAUUUUAUUUUUCUAUUGAGUGAGAUUGCUUACGUGUGAAACAAAUACUGCUCAACAUGCCAGCUUUGUUCUUUCAAACUUACCUCAACUUGCUAAAUCAACCAAUCAAAAUGAGUCACCAUAUUCUAAGAAUAAAUAACUAAGUGCCUUGUUAAUCAUUGGGUCAAAAAAGUGUAUUAGCUAACCAUGAUUUUCACACUAAAUGUAAAAAAUUCAUACUUCAUUCUAUGUGGUCAAAAUUGGAAUGGAAAAAAAAAAAACAAUGGAUGGGAAGAGACCUCACUAAAAGUGGUAAGUCAAGUCCUCUAAUUAAGAUUUUUUUUUUGAUAAAUCUCUAAUUAAGAUUAAUCAUCAACAAAACAAUACUUCUAACAAAUAACAUAUUUCUUCUGAUUAUAUUAAUAAUUUUUUUUUUUUAGGUUCGUUUAUCAACUGAUGUAUUUGGAUUAUAAUAUAAUUCUUAUACAUAUGUUAUUUAAUGAAUAUGAAAAAUUAGAAUUUGCUUAUAAAUAUGAUUGGAGGAAUUAAUUAUAUAAAAAUAAUUUGCAACCAUUAAAUCAGAUCAAACAAUCUGUGUUUCUAGUCGGUUAUUUUGGUUUGUCAAAGUAAAAGUAUAAACUUUUCGAUAUCACACCAACAAAAAAGGUAAACAAUGAACAUAUUGAUCGUUAAAUCCAAAUCAGACGAUUUAUGUUUCGAAUUUGAAUUUUUGAUUCGACGAAGUACAAAUAUAUCACCUAAUUUUAAUUCAACGAUCGAGAUAUUUUAACCAUAGACCAUCCAAAUCCGCGUAAAUAUUCAUAUUUUUAAGCUGGCUAUUACCACAUGAGUUAUGACAAAAAACACAAAAGUUUGUUCUUACUAUAAAGAAAGCAUUAUUAAUACCUUGCUUUAGCCUGUCAUCAAAUUAGCUCUCUCUCUCUCUCUCUCUAGCAGAUACACUCUCUUUCUCUCUCUAACAGAUACAUACACUCUCUCUUUCACCAAAUUCCAUAGCAGAUUUCUCUGAUUUGCUUUCCAUUCAUAUUUCAAAACCAAUCACACACAUUAAAUACUGUAAUAUGAGCAUAACCCUUUAGUGUUUAUGCUUCUAUUUCCCUUCAUUCAUCAAUGAUGUUGAAGAAAAUUCUCUAAAUUUUCUUCCAUUAACGUAAAAAUUCAAUCUUUAGAUUUUUGGUUUUGACGACAAAAAAAAAAAAAUAGAGAGAGAAAAAAAAAUGGCACCAAACACAGUUACAAAUGCAACUGACAAAGUUAAUGAUUUUACUUUGUUACAUGUUCAUGAUGAUGGUUUGGAUUCUCCAAUGUUUCAAGAGAAGCAAAAAAAAUCUACAAG